rnacentral:lncRNA from 1 species
AACCAGACUAUAGACUGCCCUGACUUCUGUGACCCAGCUUGUCCUUAUAAUUGCUAUCCUUACUCAGACUACUAUUUGCUACCCCCACCUCCACCACCUCCGUUCUUGCCCCAAGAACAUCACUUAUCACCAUAUGUGAUCAUCAUAGUUGCUUUGCUAGCCAGCUUCUUCCUUAUUGUUAGCUAUUAUGUUAUUGUGGCCAAGUCUUGUUCUGGUUGGUGUGGUUCCAGGAAUAACACGGAGCCCCAGGCUCAGGAAGAUGAUACAGAUGAAGAGUUUCUUGAUGAGAACCGGGUUGAUCACCCGAUAUGGUUCAUUACCACCAUCGGCUUGCAACAGUCAAUUAUAAAUUCAAUCACAGUUUGCAAGUACAAGAAGGGAGAGGGACUAAUUGAAGGCACUGAAUGCUCAGUUUGCUUGAGUGAAUUUCAACAAGAUGAAACUCUUAGGCUAUUGCCUAAGUGCAACCACGCCUUUCACAUCUCUUGUAUCGAUACAUGGUUGAGGUCUCACACUAAUUGCCCUUUGUGUCGUACACAUAUAAUCAAUGGUCCAGCUAGCACUCCCUUGAUUUCGGUGGGUCAGAACCACGAUAACUUGAAUCCAACUUUCAGUACCCAGAUGGAGAAUUCGGAUGUUGAUAGUGGAUUGGGUAAUAAUCAAGAGAGUAACGAACCUUGUGAAAACAGAGCUGGAACAGAGGAGGUAGGUGAAAUACUGCAGGUUGGUGAGGAAAGAACUUUGAAGGAUGAAGUAAAUUCUAAUGAUAUUGGUGAUCUCCAGGUGCUUUGUAGCUCCGUUGAUAAACACCAGGCUGAGGAUAAUGAUAUAAAGCUGCUGAGGAGGUCUUCUUCAAUGGAUUCUUUGAGAGCUACAACUAUGUGUAUUGGCCUGAAUGAUCAUAAGAACCUGGUUAAUCAGAUUGACAUUGAUGAGGAAAGAAAAUCAAAUAUGGUUUUGAAGCGAGAUGGUGGGUAUUCAAGCGUGUUUAAACUGACUGGUACUUCUUCCUUUUCACUAAGUCUUCAUAAAGGUCCUGUUUCCAUGAAAAGAUCAUUCUCGUGUGGGGGAAGGUUUUUCUCUUCGAGGCAAAACCCAAGCCUGAAGCCAAUUCUUCCCUUGUAAAUUCAAAGACUUCGCUCUUUUUUGGUACGUAUUUUCAUAUGAGAUAUCUGCAAAACGGAGAUUUCUCUUGCACUCCAAAUAAGUUGGGGUUCUUGGAGAUAAAGAGGUGAGCUAGAAAAUGUCUCUACUUACAUAUUAAUAUGUUGAUAUGCACCUUGCUUCUGUGUUUCACGUUCUGAAGCAGAACUGGAAUAAGUUUCUAUAUCACAAAAAUUGUGAUUUAACUGAUGCCUUGAAGGAGAAGGUAUCACUUCCACCAUCAAGAACUCAUUAUGUAGUUCACCUUUUAUCAGAAAUCCCUGAGGGGAUGUAACUCUUGUUUCUGAAGAAAUGAGGUGAUAGAUCCGGUAUGCAAUCUUUUAAAUCUGUCUAUUUGACAAUAAUGGAUGUUUGCAAGUAUCACAGUGAUGUUUCAAGCUGAGAUACAUCUUACACAAAGAAACUAGCAAUAUCAAAAAGAGAGUUCUUGAGGAAUAGACCAUUUAUGACAUUAAGGUACAAUUAUACGUUUAAAUAAAAACAUAAAUUUGAGGUGAGAAAUAUGCAGCCAUAGAAUGGUAGGAUAGUUCUUUAAGAAGAGUUUAUUAAAGAUGCUUAUAAAUCAAUACAGGUGAUUUCUAUGUAAACUACAGGUAAAAAGAAUAAAAAUAUAAAAGGGGAUAGUAAUAAAAAACUCUAAUUUUAAAAAAAUUUAGAUAAAGAGUUAAUUAUAUAAUAAAAAAUAGUUAUUGUCAUAUAUAACUUAUCUAAACUAUCAUUGUUAUUUUUUUUUAAUGAUAAACGUGUCUAAUAUACUUACGUAAUAUAUUUAUGUUUUUAUUAAAGGUAAAAACCACAAUGAUCCAAAACAAUGAUUUAGAAUCGGUGCCUAUAGAAACUUGAUAUAUCCUCACUAUUUCAACAUGAAUGUUGGAUCUAAAAGGAUGGUGAAUAAAUGAUAGUCAUAAGUUUUUUCAAGAUUAUAUUAAUUAAAAUGGAUUCAACAUCUACCACUUAUAUUUAAUGAACCAAUGUGAGAUUGAUCUGAUUCAGUUCAAAUUUACCCAUAACAUCAAAGAAAGAUGCUCUAAAAAUAAAAAUACAAGAUAAAUUCAUCACACACGCAUGUCAACAUGAACCUAUAAAAUUCACUUUCAAGUAACAAAUGAAUAUGAACAAAUAAAUAUCAUCAUUAAAAUUUUAAAAAUAUUUAUAUUUAGUUUUAAAAAUAAUAUUGUCGUCAUAAGCCACUUCAUCUUUUGAAAACGAUUGACUGAAUAGCUGGAAUAAUAGUUUAGAAAAGUAUUAUUGAGGGCAUACUUGAAUUCAUUGAUUUAGAUUCACAAUAAAAAAAAACAUUGUUAUUAUUAUUAUUUAGAAAAAUUAUGAUUUGGACAUGAUAAAAUUAUGUUUUAAUUGAUUUAUUUUCUGCUUCUUAUUAACCUAGAAUAACGAUUAGUGAUAAUUCAUUUAUUUUUGGUAACAAAAUAUGCAUCCAAUAACAACACCCAUAUUCAACAAUUCAAAAACCACAUCUGAAUCACAAAAUAAAUCCACAGACAAUCUGAACACCGUAAACACCAUGAGCUUUCAUUAUCAUCCACGACACAUUGUCAACUAAUUACAUUAGUCGCGAAACAACUGGAUUGCCCAGAUUUAAUCAGCCUAUACUUUUAAUCUGUGGUUUUUUUUCCCUUCACCACAGUCUUAGUUUGCCAUACCGAACUCGUCCUAAGAUAGAGCAUCUCCGAGGCAUGUGUGUAGCUCCUCCAAAUUCAAUUGAAAUGGAAAAAUAAAUUUCGGUGAUCUAAAGGGCUUAAAGUCUAAGAUGUGCGUGGUCUUUUAAUUAUAUUUUUCCUUACCCUUUUUCCUCCUUAACGAUUCCGAGCUCUCAAAAAACAAGUGAUCAUAAUUUAAACCUUUACUAUCUCCCGGCUAGUUGGAUGCUAAAAAAACAGUGUACAAGAUUUUAUUUAUGGUCAAAGAAACUUGGGUUAGUCCAAUAUAAAUCUCAACAAAUUAAGCAAUGUAUUAUACAUCAAAUCUUUUGUUAAUUAAUUAUACCCAAAGUCAAGAUCAAAGUCACUCUUUAUAGUAACAUUUUGAAAAAUGGUAUGCACUUCCAAUGUAUCACAGCUAUUUGUUAAUGUGCUAGGAUAUUCAACACCAAACCUUCCCUACACAGCUAUGCUUACAGUGCAAAUGUGAUUUACGUCAUUUCCCAGUUUUCCUUUCUCAUCACCGAUCAUAAAAUCUUUGGCAGACUUUAGCUUCACGGUGAAGGCGAUGUUCGAAAUCCUACCUUUCAAUUUUGCCUAACAAAUGCUGGCUAAUUAAUGACAAUUAGUCAAGACCUAACUUUUUGUCAAACUUAACAUUUCACACGGCAAGAUGCUGAAGCUUCAACUACCAUAUAUGAUCACAAGAACAUUUCAAAAAAAAAAAAUCAACCGCGUUUUCAAGUUCUUAUUUUUUAAUUAAACACACUUUUGUAUAUUUGAAUCCAAAGCUCCGAACUAAGGUAAUGAAGACGAGUCUUCUAAAAUCGAAGUGCAAGAGAAUGCUCGCAACUUAUUCAUGAUCUAAAAUUUCUAUGAAACUCAAGCUGUAAAUACCAAUACUAAUACUUUAUAACAAUAUUUUUAUCCUUUUCAAAAUUUGGUUUUUAAUUCUCUCUUUUUUUUUUUAUGCCUAUCUAUCUCUUAUAUGAUAAAUAUUAAUAAUUAUUGAUUAAGCUAAAAAGUUUUUGGUCCCCGCUACCAAAAAAAGAAAGGAAUCUACAAUAAUGGGCCUACCCUUUGCUGGGCUUCGAUCCAUGACGAAAAAGAUUUGCGGCCUUUUCAAUUACCUUUUCGGGGCCGGUUAUUAUUGGUUAACCAUCUAAUCGAACAAGGAUAGCUAGAAAUUGUAAAGUUCUUUCUACAUCAUAAGAACUUUGCGAAAAGAAAAUAUUUUUUAUUUUUAAUUUUAAUUCAUGAAGACAAGCUGGGAUUUGAGGCUUCUUGUUUAUGAGGAAGAGGAAGACACGUACUAUUGCAUCAAAUUGGAACUUUCUUAGCCUUUUAAGUAAAAGAGGUACUAAUUUAACAAUAUGCUAGUGAAUGGAUUUGUAAAUGCUUUUGUUUUUCCCAAAGUCGAUUGACUUAACUAUAUAUUAUACAAAGAAAUAGAGCCACGGUCCGCCUCCUACAUGCAGCCUCAAGAUCGGUUAGAUUAAAUUAAUAAUUAAUGUUAACAUCUAGUAGAUAUACUUGUAAACUAGAUUGAUAUGUCCUAAUCUAAAAAAGAGUUGGACAAUUGAAGUGGGAUUUCUGACAAAAUUAAUAACUAAUUUCCUAUAAUUUAAACAGUGUGGUAUGUUAUUGAAAUAAGAUAUAUUGAUAUUCAAGAUCCAUCAUAACAUGGUUUUGUCUAUGUAUUUUACCUAUAAUUUGAAGUUUCGUAAGAUUUUAAUUCAACUGCAGCCACUAGCCCCAAUUGUGAGUCCUGCCUGCCCUUCAAUCCUUUGAAAUUGAAAUUCUCAAGACACAGCUAGCCCCACCGGUCCUUGCACAUUGCCAGAUAGAGCCAAAAUAGAGGGAGGCAGUGUAUGCAUCCCAACAGUAUCAAGAAGCUUUAUUACUCUUUCGUAGAAAUGCAGUCGUAAUGAUGGGGGGAACAUCGUACCUGUUCUUGUGGCCGCCAUUGUUUUACAAUCUUGAGGAUUCUUUAAUCGGCAAUCAUUUUAUACACGAAACUUCUUCGAUCCCACCGGAAGUAGCACUUUUGUCAUUUAAAAGUAUCCCCGAUGGCACCCAAUUAUUAAUAAUCUCAUGGCAAGCAUGGUCUCCAAUAUUCUCCCAUAAUCACGUAGUUACAAGAGGCUUUCAUCCAUUGCGGGACCCUGAAUAUUGACAUCAACAUUGCAACAUAGCCAACAAGCAUUUUAAAUAUUUAAAGCUAGAGCACCAAUCAUCAGAUCAUAAAAGAAAAAAAACAGAGCUUGGGUUCUUACGAAGUUACACGGUAGCUAGCCUCGUCUUUCUCCCUGUAAGUCCUUUCGAGCGCUACUUUUCCCCCUAAAGUGAGAACGAAAAUCUAAUGGAUUUCUUCACCGUGCGAAUAUGGACAUUCGGCAGUAUAAGACAAGUAUGGGACGUGGAUCUAACGUGCAUAUGUUGAAAACCCACGUACUACAUGCCUUGUCCAUUUUAUGAUUGAUCCUUAGAUAUGUGGCCCACUACAUCGCGGGUUUGUAAUUUUCUUCGUGUAAAACCAAUGUCGAAUUACCAAAAUCAUAUUUUGCAGAUUUUAUUUUAAUCAGACAAUAAUAACAAACGCACAAAUCUAGAAAGAAAAAAAGAACACAAUAACCAGAAAAAAAAAACAUUUUGAAAUACCUAAUUAAACAAAAAAAAAAAACUCAGGUUCGAGUCAGUUCAAGAUAACAUGAUAUAUAUAUAUAUAUAUAACCUAGUUAAUAUGAAAGAGUCAACUCGAGUUAACCUGUAAAAUUCAUGAUCCAGAUUAUGAGAUUGGGAUAACCUGAUAAAAAAAAUUUUAAAAGUCAUUUUUCUAUAUUAAAAAAACUAAUGUCAAACAAUAAUAUUAGAAAAAACAUAAUAAGCCAAAUUAAAGGACGACAUCGACCCAUAUCAACUUUCAACAAGGUCAUUAGACUUGAAGUACCAUACAUAGAAAAAUAGUAAAACUCAUCCAUACAUAGAAAAAUAGUGAAACUCAUUCCCAACAAAUCAAAUAUCGAAUGAUGAUUAAUAUUGAGGAUAAAAAUGAAAAAAAAACAAGUACACGAAAGGAUUUAAAAUAAAAAUAAAUAUUAAUUAAAGGAAUAAGGGUGAAAAUUAAAAUAAAAAAUAUAAUAGAAGGCAAGAAUAAUUUUUUUAAUGGGGGUUAAAUUGAAAAGAAAAGAAAUUAAACAAAAAGACAAAAUUAGAAAAAAAUGAAGACCAAAUUAGAAAAAAUAAAAAUCAUAAACAUGGAUUGAAUGAUGAAAUUGCAAACCAUCAAAACUUUAAUAAAAGGGCCAAGAAAAAAAGAGAAAUAAAAAAGGUGAAUCAAAUUGAAAAAUAUUAUAUGUAACAAACAAAAAUUGAAGGGUUAAAUUGAAAAAAAAUAAAACUUUAACAAAGGAUACAAGGAUAAAAACACAAAAUCAAAAGACAAAUGACUAAAUUUGAAAAACCAAUAACAAUGUGGACCGGGUUGUAUUUUUAGGUAGGAGAGACAAAGGAAAAAAGUUGACCGAAAGAGGAUGCGAUGGCGAAUUAAAUAACAUGGUGAAAGGAAAUUUUCAAUCACAGUAAGGCACAACAUACGCCGCCCAAAAUACACAGACGCCUCCCACAUGCUAAUAUUUUUUAAAAAAUUAAAAUAAUAUUUAAUGAAUUUAAAAAGAUAGCAAUACCUUUGUUACCUUGAUAAAUAUAUGUAUAAAAAAUCUUGGUAGAUUUUUUAUCAUAUUUUAUAAUAUUUUUUUAAACCUGGGAGUAUAUAUGUAAAUUUAUUGUAUAUAAAUAAAUAAAAAGACAUCUAUAACCAAUGUUGUUAAAAUAGCUGCGAAGUUCAUCAUAAGGUAUGAUGUAUCAUGAUAAACUAUGGCAUAGGUUUCAAACCCAGUUAAAAGGAAUAGUAGAGGGCAGCGAUGCAAAAAAAAAUAGAAAAUAGCUCAAAUUGAAGGGAGAGAUCCUAAUAAAAAGAAGAAGAUGGAUAUUUUGCUCAUUCACAAUACCUUUCCUAGACUUAUCUAUAUCAUCAAUUCAUAAGACCUAGAUUGGCCAGCUGAUUUAGAAAAUACAAAGGAGAAGCUCCCUAGACUAACCAAAACUAAGAAGAAUAAAGCUAGAAAUUCUAAAAAGGUAAAAGAUAAGGUGCUCAAACAAUGAAAAGCAAAAUUCUUAGAAAUGAUCGGGUGCCCCUAAUCAGUAUCAAAUAUUAUUGCAGCUUCAAAGAAAGGUGGGAAAGUCAGGGUGUGUGUGGACGUUAAAGACUUGAACAGAGCAAGCCCUAAAGAUAGUUUUUUUUGUUACCUUAUAUUAAUGUACUUACGGAUAACGUUGCUAAAAAUUUCACAUACUCUUUCAUGGUUGGGUUCUUAGGAUAUAACCAAAUUAAAAUGAUUUAAUAAUCAUCUUCGUCACUUAUUAGGGUACUUAUUAUUACAAAGUUAUGUCGCUUUAUGAAUGACUCUACUUCUACAUGUCCCAACUCGUUUCCUAUAGUUUUAAAAGGUUUAUUUCAAAUCUAAAAGCAAUUUAUUUGUUUUGUGAUAUUGAUAUGUGAAUUGAUUUUAUGUAUACAUUUAUAAUGAUAAUUAGGGUGAUAUUUUGUUGAUUAUAUGUGUGUUGAUUUAUUGAUCUAUAUUUGUGUUUAGGAUACUUUUAUUGAUUUUGUGAUGAUUUAAUUAAUUAUGUGGAAAGUAUGCAUUGGUCCACAUUUGAUUCUCGUGUUUGAUAUGAUUAAGUGUGAUUUGUAAUUUGAGAUGCUAAAUAUCUUUUUAAUAGGUAUGAUAUAUUUUUAUCUGUGUAAAAAAAAAUUACGUUAGGUUUUUAUCAAAGAGUUGAUCAUUGACAAUAUAAUCACUCAAUGGGUUUUGUCAAUUGGAUGACAAUACUAUUUAAAAAAAAAAUUAUAGACAGUAUGAUUAUUUAACAGGACUUGUCCUUUAAAAUGUAAAAAAAAUAAUUUGUUUUCAAAUUUUUAUUUUAAAAAUAAUUAUAAAUGAAUUCGGUUUGUGAGUUGAAGAUUCUCUUUUGAUUUAUUUUUUUUCAUAUAAUAAAUCGUUAUCGCUCUUGUAAUGACAUUUAUUUUCUAAAAAUAAUGAAUCUUAUUUUUAGUUGUAAGUACUUUUAUUUAUUAAUGUCAAUAUGUACAUAUUUUUAGAAUAUUUUCUUUAGGAUAUUAUCCAUCAUGAUAAGGAAAUUUAGGUGGGGUCAACAUGACCCCAAAAGAUUUAUCGAGUGUGAUAAUUCAAGAAAUAUGUUUAAAGUUUAAUUUGUCAUUUUCCAUCUUCUCGGAUUUAACGCCCAUAUUUUCCAAGUAAAUAUUAGACCUUGUAAUCAGGCCUAUGUCCCGUCUCAUUUUCAUAGGAUUAAUAACGUUGUUCUUUUUAGUAUAAUCAAGUAUUUACUAGAAUCAACUAUUUACCUAAGAAUUUCUAAAAACAAAUUAGAUUUCUAGUUAUUAUAAACUAGAUGACAUAAAUGAAGACUUCUAAUCUACUUUUACCUCAAUUUGAUUUUCAUUGCGGUAUAGAGUAUGACACAAAAGGUAACAAAUUAAUUUGAUUGGACAUUGAUUCAAAACAUAGAUCGAAGAAUGACUAUUAUUCCAUUUCUUUGUUGUAAUUGUAAUUAUUAAUAUUAUUAACACUCGGUCGCGGUUAUAUAAAAUUAUCUUGGAGAAAUUAAAAUGGAGGGAAAAUUAAACCAGCAAAAUCCAUUACGAGAGGCAAAUUAACAACCCUAACUGCAGAACAGGUAUACAAAUUAGGUUUACAAAUCUCAGCUGAAAGCAGUUGCUUCUUCAAUCCUGUAUAGCAUGUGAUUAACAGCAGCUGCAAUCUCAUCCACUGUAUUCAGAUGACAUCCUUCUUCAACCUGUCCCAAUACAUUCAUACCCAAUGAAAAAUUAAAAAAAAAAAAUCGAAUACUGUACAGUAAAUGUGUAAUAGUAGAUGAUCAUAAUUAAUAUCAACCUUUCCAAUUAAUUGGUGUUUAAUUUUAAGGUUCUAUUAUUGGCUUAAAAGGAGAGGCAAAAAAAAGUGAUAUAAAAUUGCUCAAUAAAGAAAAAUUGACUGAUUUGACUAAAAAAUUCACUAACCUUGACACUAACUGAAUAGAGAACCAUUUGAUCAACAGUGGUGACAUUGAGGUGAAGAAUACUGAGCCUUAGGUUUUGCAACCCCACCAUCAACUUCAAGAGCUGUCCUGGCCGUUUCUUUGAUAGAAUUUUGAGAUUGGCAUGGCUCUCCACCAUUGUCACUUCUAUGUCCCCUAAAGCCCGCUGGUUCUGAUCAGCCACUGAUUCAUCUGCCGUUACCGAAGGCUGAGAUGCACGAGUCGAAUACUGUGGGAAGGUGAAGAACUCAGCAAAUAGCCGUGAAGGGAAACCAUUAUCGUCGGGUUGUUGCUUGUUCUUUUUAUUAGUUCCCAUGGUCUGCAAGAGCUGCUCUAGCUCCUUCACGAAGUUAAUGGCACCUCCAAUUAUCGAUGCUUGGUCACCCUAAGAAGAACAAAUUAAUGUAAUUAAAUUUAUUAAAAUAUGUUUGAAAAAAUUUACUUCUAAUGAAUUAGUACAAAUCCGAUCAAGAUGACCGAUUAAUCAAUAGAUGGUUAACUGUAUAAUAAGCUCCGGUGAACUUCCAUGAAAAAUUUAUUUCCAUAUAAGUGGGGAUAUGGAAUUCUUUUUUAACAUUGAAUUUUGAAAAUAGGUAAAAUAUAAUUCAAGUUUUAAUAUGCACAGUUGAAAAGGGGGGUUUGAUAUGCAAGGCGUGUGUAGGUACAUACUCUUUGAACAUAAGAAGGAGGCAUCAAAGACCUAAGCACAGCAAGAUACUCAUUCAUCUGUUUUCUACGGUUGCGUUCAACAGCAAUGUGAGUCAUUCUCUGGCUCUCAAUUUCUUCUUUAUUCUUGGAGCUCUUGGUGCGUCUCCGUUUUCUCCUGUUUGUUGUUGUCACUGGUGCAGGUUCCAUUAUUGCAGGAAACAGUAUUCCUUGGAGAGAUUGAUCAACAUUGCAAGUCCCGGGUGAAGAGGAAUUGUGAUCCCAUUCUUUUUCUUGUUGCAUCAAUGAAAGUGAUGAUGAAUCCCAGCUUGCAUGGAGACCUUGUUGCUCCAUGUUGUUAUUUUCAAGAAUCCCAAGAAAAGCUUUAUCAUCUUCUUGCAACUGAUCAAAAUCAUAGCCCCAAGCUCCUCCUCCUGCCAAGGAGUAAGAAUCCUUGCAGCCAUAAGUAAAUGGAUCUUGAGAGUACACAAUUGCCUCUAGUUCCAUGUCUACUUACUCUCUCUCAAACGCGGAAACAGACGGACCUUUUGUGUUUUCUAAUAAUCUCUCUCUCUCUCUCUUUUUCCUCACUCCAAGAGGCAGACAAACAUGAAAAGAGGAUUAGGGGUAAAGACCCACAAGCUAGCUAGUGUACUGUGUACAAGCUGGGAGGAGUCUUAUGAGUAGAGAGGGCUUAAAAGGAGGAAGAAUUAUAGUAUAAAAGUGGCGUUAUGUUUGAAGAAACCCAAAGGAACAUAACAUGCACAAACCCGAAGGACGUCUAUAUACCAAAGGACAAACGAACUCGCCUUUUUAUCUUUCUCCCCGUAGGAGAAAGCCAUGGUACUUUAGGGAUGUUUAAUUAACUAACAAAAGCUACAGCGUUCUGCACGUGAGAUGGCAAUUUGAACCCCUCACUAAACGAGAGAGAAGAGAGAUUCUCUUGGUUCUUGGAGAUUGUAAAUACUGUUUCCUGAAAAUUAACAUGGAACACACACUACUAGUGAAAAAGAAAAAAACCAGACUACCUUACUGCUGCAUACACAUCCCAAAAAAGUAAAUAUAGACGAAGGUAACGAAAGGAGAGGAUUUUGAUAAGAAAAAAAGGUGGGUCCAAAAGGUAUAUCCCAUUUUGUGAGAAGGGAACAUUAUUUUCCUAAUUAAGGGCGGCAUGAGUCGUCUUCUUUGACACCACUGUUCCUUGCAAUACGUUAAAAGGCUUGCUUGGUCCUUUCAAAGUUUCAAUAGGAUGCAUUAGUUUCUAACAAUAAAUAAAAGGAUGUGCCUAAAUAGAUGUGACGAUAGAUUCAUUUGGCAAUAAUGUGGUCGGACACUUGGUCAUGGAAAGGAGAAUAUGUCGAAAAGCUGAUAAUAACCCAGAGAUUCCGAGAAAGAUCUACAGGGGAAAGAGAGAGAGAAGGAGGACAAUUUUACCAUGUGACCCAACAAAGAGCCAUGCUCCGUGAUCAUCUACAGUCAAGACUAUGUGUCUACUUUCCCAAUGAAAGCCCUCGUUGUUCUCUUGCCGCUUCCUUAUUACACUUCCCAACUCCCAACAUAAAUUAACCUUAUUUACUGAUGCCUUUAAUGUUAAUGACAUUAGUAAUAUUAAUCACAAGUCAAUAAGACAUUCUCUAGGGUUUCCUCUCUUCUUUCUUGGGUUCUAUCCCAUAGAGCAUAAAUUGCCCCACAACGUUAUUUUAUUUGGUGUUUAGAGAAAUGUGAUUCCAUGCCAUAGGUGCUAUACACUGCCCUCUUUAAUUAAACAAUUAUCAAUGGAAGAAUAGAAAAGGGAAAAAAUAAAAACAAUCCUUAUCGAACUGGCAUUCCUUUGAAUGUAUCACCAAAAAUGUAGUUUAUGAGAUUCCUUGUCGAAAUGUAUGCUUAAUAAAAAAAUCAACUGGCUAUUUUAAUACCUCUAAUUCACUUAUUUUCUUCCUUGAGAUCUCUUUGAAAGGUACCAAAUUCCUGUUAAAAAAUCGAGAAAUACCCAUCAGCCUACUGCUCUGAGUGUCACAUUACGCUACCAUCUAGCAGUUUCUCACCCAUUCCCUUAAUUUAGUAAUUUAUGUUGUACGAAUUUAAUUGUAGCAUAAUUAUUCAAAUACACUCAGGACAAAUCAUAUGCUAGUGAAUCGCUUUUCAAUUAAUUAAUCACUCCAAUAUGCUUACGUGUGUUUUUGUUUCCUUUCCCUGGAGAAAGAGAGGGAGAACAAUAGAAAGAUUAUGCUUUUUUUAUUCAUCGAGGAAAAAAAAACAGCUCUUUCACUAUACGGUAACCAAAAUCAAAUUAAUGCUGUGACUCAUCGGGUAAAAUUAUAGCACGAAGAUCAUGUUUUUGCUAGAGCGCUAUUUUGAGGCAUCAAGUUUGGUUUGAAGGGUUUCACAUCUUUAUGAAGUUGCGUCGACCCAAUAUUUCAUGCUUGGAUUCGAAUCAUUUCCAAAAUAGUUUUGGUGGAGAUAAAUUGAUAAAUCGACAAGUUCUCCAGCAUCGAAGGCUCCUGUGAUUCAAUAAUUUAAUCGUAUUGGGUCUUUGUUCGAGAUUUCUUUUGACGUAAAAAUCAUUAGCUAAACAAGCACGUGUGACAUGCACUGGUUGUUGAAUUUCGGUCAAAAUUUGACCAUUAAUUUUAAUUAAAGUUGGCAACAAAUUGAAUCGAUCGGAGGACUAAAUCUGUAUUAGAAUCAAGGACUUAUUUAAAAAAAAAAAAACCAUAUGACUCAAUGUCACCAAAUCAUUGAAUACCAAGAUCUGCGAUGAAUGCAGAUCUCAAGGAUUUAGUUUGCAUAAAUAAGAAAGUCGCUACUUUUUUUGGGUAGUCCCUUCUCCUUCUGUACGUAGUUAUACCGUCAUAAGUCCCGGUGUUUCGGAAAACAAUCUAUGAGAUGUCGCAUGUAUUUUCUGUAGUGUAAAAGAAAAAAAAAAAAAAAAGAACUCAUAAAGGUUUCACGGACCAAAGUGAUGACCAUCUAGGUUUAUGAAGGUGGAGGUUUUGAUAUACCCAUUGACAAAUACAUAGUAAGAUUUAUUAUUAAAGAUUUUAAACUACAAUAAUAUAUGAAUUAUUUUGAUAUAUGCUUACAUGUAUUAAGAAUAAUUUUUAUACGGAUGUUAAUAAUUAUUGUGGCGCGCUACUAACAAAAUAAAAAUACAUUAAUUAAAUAAAAAUAAUUGUUUCUAAUGGUGACCUUGUAACAAUUAAUUAUGUAACUAAUAGGGAUGAAAUGAAUGAAAUCGAUAAUGGAUAAUUUAUUGAAUCGGGAAAUCAAGAACUACAAAUUAAAAGAAAGAAAAACAUUUUUCUAGGCAUAUUCGAGCACAAUGACUAAAUUGAAAGUUUAUCAAGACUCAACAUGACAUUACCUAGACUUCUAACUCAAUAAAUAAACUAGAAUUCAAUUAUUCAAAUUUGAAAUAUUUACAACUUGAAAGAUCUGGGCUAAUCUAGAGAUGAUUCUUCAACUGUUCAAAUUGUAACAAUCUAUUGUCGUUUUAUGUUGAUUAUAAGAGCUGUUACACAUGUCGCCUAAUAUUGGUACGCUGGUGAAACAUUAAUUAUCCCAUUGUUCUCUAUUUCUCAUGCAGUCCUCGUUGUACAUUCCAAUAUUUCUUUUUCAUUUCUUCCCGAAGUUUUAGCCCUUAUUGUCUUUAUAAAACUCCUCUUUCUACAAUUAACUUUUUCUCAGUCUCCAUGGAAACGUACCUAAACUCAUCGCACUCUUACCCCUAUUAAAAACCAUGCCCUCAAGUUAAGGGUAGGUUUCCCUAGGCCACUGUUUAUCCAUCCAAGUUGCAAUUUCGUUGCUUCGCCCGCUUUUUUAAGAAAAAUAUAUUGACAAUGCAGGUUCAAAAAAAAAAAUUAUGAUUUAACAAGAUAGCUCGUGUAUAAUUAAUCGAGAUGAAUGAACUUAAAGCAUUUAAAGAUAAAAAAGUAUCUCAACCAAGUUGAUUGACGAUCCCAAAAUUUAGAUUUUAAUAUAAAAUUAAGUUAUAUAACACUUUUAAUAGCUCUAAAACAUAAUAAUUUUCAACUUAUUUCUAUGAUGAAUAAGGGUGUUAGUUGUAGUAUAAUAAGGGUAAAUUGUGCUAUUAACAGAGUCGGAUCUAGAAUUUUAGUUUUGGGGGGUCAAAUUAAGGGGCAAAUUUCAAUUUUUUAUUUUAAUUUCAGGGCUAGAAAUAUAAUUUGUUGAAGGAAGUUGGAAAAAAAUGUUUCAUUGUAGAGGCUCCGACCCCUCUUGGUUCCGCCAUUAGCUCUUAAUGACUCUCAUACCUUAGCUUACCUUGUGAAGUAUUACUCUUAAUAAGAAAUUACUUAUAUGAUUGAUAAAUAUGGUCGCUUUUAUGAGAAUUUUUUUAAAAAAUAAAUUCUCUAAGGUACUUAUAAAACUAGACAUUUUUUGAGGAUAAAAUAAACAUAAUAUAAAACUAGACAUUCUUUGAGGAUAAAAUGAACAUAAUCGUGAGAACUAAAGAAAACUCUAAGAAGGGGAACUAGACGAGUAUUAUUGGCUUGGUUUGCAUAAAAUGAUGAGUAAUUCAAGAUAUUAUGCCCACUAAUAACCCGAGUAAAUCUUAUAAUACUCCACUAAGAAAUAUUCAAAGAAAAAAGUUAUUUAUCAUAUUAUAGUGACCUCAUAAUUCACUCUUUCUCUAUGGUUCUAUAUGUCUUCGUAUUUCAAUUAGUCAAUUUUCAUUCAUGUGGGGGAUUGUUAAAAAAAAUUAACUUUUAGACAUGGUUUGGUCAUAUUUGAAAUCUGAUUAAUUAGGAUUAAGACUUUAUUGAAAAUUAUUCUCCAACAUAAGUAUUAUAACAUGGAAUAUUAAAAAUCUAAAACCUAUUAUGAAUGAAUAAGAAAUUAAUAUCAAAAAAUCCUCAAUGAGUUGGCAAAAAAAUAAAAAAAAACAAAAUCCAACCAUAAAACUUUAAUUAUCCUAUAUUAAUAAGAAAUUAUUUUUUUUCUCCUCCAAGACCUAUACAAACACUAGCCUAUAUAUACCCCCACAUUAAAAACUAGAAACUCUUAUUCUCUUAUUAUGCCUAUAUAGAGAUGCUUUUGUUGAUUUAUUAAAGAUUAAUGACAAGAAAGUAUCCUUUCUUAAUUAUUUUUCUCUAUUUAUAUGGUUAUUCUAGUUUUUAUGUUAAAAGAGAAAAUGAAUCAGCUUUUUUAAAAAAAAUUACUUAAGCUUAGUGUUGAAGUGUAAUAUGAUAGUUGAAUCUUAGGCGGUAAUUUGCAUAUAUUGUUUGCAUCAAUUGAUGAGAAAUUUUUGUUUCAACGAUAAAGGGUAUAACUCUUACUAUUAUCUCCUUCUUCUGUUAUAUUAUUUAAUCUGCACUUAAAUAAGUGUAAUUUAAUUUAUUCAUAUUUUUUAAUUAAUUAGCAUCCUUUUGUUGGUAGGCUAGUUUCAUUUUUUUUUUGUUGCUUUGUGUGCAUGCCUAUUUUAUUUCUUGUAGUUCAUGAUUUGUUGUUUGAUCUAAUAUUUAGAUUUAGUUAUUAAUUAGCUUUUAUUUAAAUAAAUUUAGUUUUAUUUAUUUUUUAGAAAAUAGAUUAAACUUCAUUUAUAAAUUAAAAUCCAAUCGUUUCCAUGAGAUUUAGGAAAUUUUUUUUUUUUGUAAACCGAUUUGGUUGGUUCAAAAGCAAAUUAGUUGACUAGUAAAAGAGUCUAAAGAUAAAAUUAAUAGAAAAGACAAUAAAAUUGAUACAAAAAAAAAUCAUCCCAACCUAACUUUUUGUCCAACCUAGGUUUAAAAUUAAAAUUAUACAGAAAUUAUUUAAAUGUGAUCUAGUCGACUUAACUGAUUAAAAGACAACCCAAUUAACUUGUAAAAAAAGUUUAAAAUUGAAAUUGAGGGAAAAAAUAAUGAAAUUAAUAAGAAGAAAAAUAUCAACUUCACUAUUUAAAAUAUAUAAAAGUUAUUUUGACGUGAUUUAUUUUAUUAGUUUAAAGAUAACCCAGAUGAAUAUUAAAAAAUUCAAUAAUAAAAUUAAAAAAAAAAAUGGCUGAAUUGAAAGGAAAUUUUUUUUUUUGUAAACAGUACAAGGAACCUGGAAAGCUUUUCCAAGAAUUUUAGUUGUGAUACACGAGAGUGAAUAAAAUAUGUAUUUUAACAGAUAGAGUGAAUCGUCAAUGAUGAUGACAGAACUAAACCACAACCUUUCGUGUCUAAUCCAGGCUUUGUCUCCUACGAUACUGAUGGAAUUGCACCCAGCAAUGUCUAAUCUAGGCUUAAUCUCACAACCCAUCGCCUACACUAACCUAUAAUGGUACGAACCUACUUAAUUAUAAUCGUAGCAUGUGUGAGCGCUAUGCAUGCUGUCAAAAAUUGUAGCCAUCAACUAGUCAGCUAAUGUAUUAAUCAAGUGUGCUAUUAUGUAGUGUCACGCCAGGGAUCUGAGGUCCGGUAUGAUUAAAUAGCUAAAUUUUGAAAAAUAAAUUGUUUAAAAUUAAUUAUCUUUUAAAUAUUUUCAUAUCGUUUUAACAUAUUAAUAUUAAAAAUUAUUUUUAAAAUAUAUAUAUUUUAAAAAAAAACUAUUAACAUAUUAUUAUAGUCACCGUAGCCGCUUCAGAAACUAAGAUUGUUGACUAAAUCGAGGAAACGCGGAGACAUAGGGACCUGAAAUCCCGGGAACCUGUUUAUUGUUUGUUUCAUAAUACUCCAUCGUUAAAUACACUCGAUGCCAACCUUUAGAAUUAGAUUCUCAUGACCGGGUUUGCAUACAAUAUUUAUAAGCUGAGACCAUAUUCAUUGAAAUUGGCCGCUUACACCAAUGGAAGCGAGCCACGUCAAUAAUAGGCUAACACAUGGGGGUGGAAAGUAAAAACACACGCUAAUGGGCUGAGUCUGGCAAUCGUAGCUCCAUAAUUCAUACUGAAAAGGAUAAAAACUUGGAUUCAUUGUCGUUCUUGUGAUGUGAAAUACGCAGCUUCUCCUUCGUCCUUGCUUGACAAUAAUGUAUAGCUUUACCCAUGAACAGGUAUUAUCCCUUUUCUUUUCUUGUUUUCGCUUUCUGAACAGAAGAUUGGAUAUUGUCCGGAGAACAUUUUGUUUUAUUGAGUUGAAAUUAAGAAUCUUAGUUUGAGUAAGCCUAAUGCAGAUAUAUAUAUAUCAUGUCAUUAAAGCACUAGCGAAUUUGACGUUGAAGUCUUAACUCUAAUAAUUGCAAGUUAACACUAACUUUAUUCUUUUCCUUCUUCAAUUUAGCGAUUGUAUGACCCACUCGAUAUAUUUGAACAGUAAUGGAACUUGAAGACAUUGCUCAAGUAGUGUACUAGGUAGUAUUAGACUGGAGCCCAUGCUACUGAUAAGGUUUCAAAAUAUCCUAGCAGUUUACCAUCAAGACUUAUGUGUUGCGCAUCAUCACUUAAGCUCUUAAUUUUAAUAAUUUUAUUUAUUUUUAUUGCUCAAGAUGACUGGUAGCCCGGUAUCUGAUGGCUGGUGCUUAUAAAAAGUUUUUUUUUAUAGAUUUAAAAACUCUAUGAUGGUUAAGUUUAUCUUUUAGAGAGAUAGACUCUAAAAAUAUAAAUACUCAAAAAAAAAAAAUUCAGAUUAAAGUGAUUGCAAACUCGCUCCUUUUAAGGACCCAAUGGAUCUUUAUAACUCAUUAUUCUUACCAUUUGGUGGAGGGGAGCAAUAAAAAGUCAUCCUUUUGUGAUAGUAUUAAAACAUCUCUUUAUGUAACAAAGAAGAGAAAUAUCUUUGACUCAUCAUAGUCUUAUGAUCCAAUAUGGAGCAUGAUAAGAUUGCUAAAGUCUCUUGUAUUCGGGCUCAGCGUUUGGCUGAGCCUGGGGGUGAUAGGUCUGACAGUUCACCAAACUCAUAUAUGUUUAGGAUUAACGCCUGACUGAACCUGAAAAUACUGGAUCUGAAAACUCUCUAGACUCCUAUUUGCUUGGGCUCAAUGUCUAGUUGAAUCCAAUGAUGUUGUGUCUAGUAGCUCACCAGACCUAUAUAUUAUUGGGCUCAACGCCUAGCUGCGCUUGGCUAGCUUUUAAAUUAAAGUGUAUGUCUAAAUAUAGAAUUUGUGGGUAAUUAAAAAUAUAUGAUAUAAGUGUAUAAAUAACCUUUAUAUAAAGAAAAAUAGGAUAGGUGGAAGAAUAACAACAUAAUAGGUUUGUGCCUUAAAAACUACAUUUACUUUUUUUUAAAAAAAAUUAUUCGGUUGUUUUCCUUUGAAAAUAAAUUGUUUAGCAAGUGAAAGUGAAAGGUUAUUGUUCAAACUGUUCAUUCAAGGGCAAGGGCUGAAAAAACUAAUGGACUAAAAUAAAUUUAAAAACCACAAAAUUAUUUUAUAAUAAAUUCAAAUUUAAGUCAAAAAAAAGGUUUGCGAAAAGCAAACUCCAACCCAAUUCUCAGAACCUCAUGCACCGAGGCCUUAUACCCUACUUUCCUAUUUUGAAUAUUUACUUUUCUUUAUAUUAAUAUGUCAGAUUGUCACAACAAAAACCUAUUUCAAAGUAAAAAAAUAAACAAGGAAGUUAUGGGCAACUAUGGUAUCGAACCACAUCUUUGAUUAAGAAAACAAGUAAAAAUCUUUUGGGACCACUAAUUCUAGAGUAUUAAUUUAAAAUCAGAUGAGAGAAAAGUUAUAUUAAUCUAGAAGAGGAAUAAGCUAAAGGCUUUAACAAAUAAUUAAAAACCACUCGAGUGUAGUUUUGAAAUCCGGCCCGGCCCGGCCCGGCGGGCCGACCCGAGACUGGAACCGGGCGAGGUUGAAGAAAAAAUAGGAUAAAAAAAAACCCGGUAUGACCCGGUAACCCGGUCAAAAACCCGGUUGCAACUUUUUUAUUAAAACGACGUCGUUUUGAUUUAAAAAAAAAAGAAUUGACCCAGCCGACCCGGUCAAAAUCCAGAACCUAGGCUCCUUAGACCGGGCCUAGUCUAAAAACUAUACACUCGAGGGUUAAAAAUCCACCACCAAGGUUAUGUUUUGGUUUAGAAGAUAUUCUUAUUUUUAAAAGCUAGCUUAAAUAAAAAGUUAUAUUUCAUGUAAAUAAAAUAAAAAAUCAAUUCCUUCUCUCAAAAUGAAUUCAAUACUAAUUUACAUACCUUAAAAUAAAUACUUUUAGAUCUAAAACUUUAUAUUAAAAUUUUAUUUUAGUUAUAACAACAACCUCAAAUACUUUUAGAUCGACUAUAAACUUGUGUCGGAUUUUGAUUUGAUUACAAGUAUAGAGGUGGUCGUCAAUGCCAUAUCAUUAAAAAAAAAAAAAAAAAAAAAAACCUCCACUUAAAUUUAAAGCUAUAUUUACUUUCCUGCUGUCGAAGACAAUAAGAACUCCUCAUGCUAGUAGACACGUAACAAUCUCUUGGACCACUCACAUGUUGGACGAUAACCAAAAAAAUAAAAAUAAAAAGCUAAAAUGGAAAGCAGAUUCAAUUAUUAUGCACAUGUACUUAAUUUACUAUCCAUUGAUUCAAUACAAUUAUUGUUUUACCCUUGCAAAAAAUCGAAUGGCUUUAAUGUAAUGUUAGGGGUAAUUUGGUUUUUUCCAAUGACUCAUUAGUCAUUAUUCAAUUAACCAUGCACAACUUGGUUUUUUUGCUUUUUUUAAUAUAGUAAAAUUGCUAAAGUGCCUUUAAAAAAUAUAAAGCAAACGAUGCUUUUCAUACACUAUAGCUCGAGGAUGAAGGAGAAAUUCCUACAAAGAAUUUGUUGGUUGGAAUGAUAGCUGUGUUUGUGGUUUAAAGUUUUUUUAAUUUAAAAAUAUAUUAAUAAAAAAAUUUAAAAUUUAAAAUAAUAUUAUUCACACCGUGUUUCAAUCACAUUUAAAGAAUAAUAAUUGAUUUGAUUUAAGUGGGAUUUUUUCAACUAGGUUACAAUCUUGUUUAUUUAAAUUCCUGUAAAGGUGGAGGAAUUUCUCCAUGGCAGGUACCUAACCGGAUUUUUUUAUUUUAAAAAAAUAAAAAAUAAGCUUAAAAUAAAACUAUAUCUUUAUCCAUAAAUCAUAAAACUAUAAAAUAAAAUUUAAACUUUAAAUCAAUGCAUAAAAUUAUAAAAAUACUUUACAAAUCAUAAGAUAAAAUCCACAUACUAUAUCACAAAAUAAAAAUUAGGACUCCUUAAAAUAAGAUAAAAACUUUAAAAAAUCAAGUGAGGGCGGGGUCAAGUGAACCCCUCACCCACCACCGCAUCUCUUUCAGUCAAGCCGAAACAAAUUUUAGACACCCUUUUGUUAUAUCCAGGCCUGAUUUAGUUUAUUUUAUUUAGCUCGAUUAUCUAUUCUAGUAAUUGGGCUAAAUGAUGAUAGGCACGGGAUGCUAUGAGCUUAGAAAUGGGCUGGAGAUGUCAAGCAUGGACUGUUGUCGGCUUAGACACCCAAAUUCUAAAGAGAAUGGACGGAUUUCUUUGCUCCUCAGCCCAUCAAUAUACUUCGCUCGUUCCAUCGUUUCAUUUCUUGCUUAGAUUGAGAUUUUUUAAUAUUUCUCUUGAAUAUUUUUUUAAAAAUAAUUUAAAAAAUUUUAAUGAACAAAUUAAUCCGAAGAUAAUCGAUCAUAAAAAAAUUAAAAAAAUAAGAAAAAAAUAAUUUAUUUUUCAAAAACCAAAAACUUUUGAUACUUUUCCAGACAUUAAACAUCUAAUUUUCUUAAAUAAAAAAUAUUUUUGAAAAAUGCUCAGCCAUUAAAAUAUUUGAUAAUGUUUUAUAUUUUUUUCUCAAAAGUAUCAUAUGAUGACUCAAUAUUACUCUUAAACAUUUAAAAUAUUACAAUUUUCUAUUUGUUUUCACAAUUUUAAGGUUUCAAAUUUGAAAUUUUUUAUUCUUUAAAUUCUUAAAAGUUUUAAGUUUUUUUUUAAAUAUUUUUUAUUUCCCAAAAAUUUUAAAGACCUAGAAUCGUUGGAAAUCUUAAUUUUUUAAAAACUAUGUUUCAAAAUACUAAUAUUUUUGUUCUAGAAAUAUUUUCAAAAAAAACCAAUUUUUUUCUAAAAACAAAUAUUUCUAAAGAUUUUUCCAAUUGUUAACCGGUGUUAAGUUUGCAAUCAGAGGCAAUUAAAUCCGAUUAGGUUGAAUCGACUAAAGUUUACAAACAAAGGUUAACUCUUGAACAAAUCUUUUUUACAUAAGUUAAUUUGCCUAGUUAGUACAAAUACAGGUGAAAGUGUGGCACUUUUUCAAUAACUUUCAACAUAAAAUAAAAUAUUUUACAUAAAUUUUCAGCCAUUGAUUUAAGAUAAAUCCAACAGUCGAAGUUUAAUGAAAUAUCCUUUAUUAAUAAUUGGAUUAUACUUCCUUGAAAAAGGUUAAACUUCUUUCCACUCCUUUUCAUAUGAAAAUUUCCAUGACCAAUCAGUAUUUAAGUUUUUUUUUUUUUUUAAAAAAAAGGCAUUGUUGCUGAUCGGCUAAAAGGCCCAGGGUAAAAAUAAAAUAAAAAUGAGCAAUGCUGUCCAGUUAAUUGUCUUGGGCCAGAGGCGUAACAACAAAGACAGUAGCUUGACAAACUACUGGUCUGGUCCAAAGGCCCAACUGCUCAAGAGAGGAAGCAGAAGAGAGAGGACCGGACAGGAGGUGAGAAUUAACAUGUCUUGUUAGUAAAAUAUAGCGCAACCACCCACUGGUGUUACACUACACGUAGAUAAAUACAUGUCUUGCAUAAUAAUUUCUCCAUCUCCUUUAGUUUUUUUUUAAUUAGCAUAUAGACUCGUGCACGAUGUUGUAAGUCUGCUUUAAAAAAAUAUUUUUGUUAACCUUUCAAUCUGCAUACCAAAUCAUGAGAUCAUAAUAACCCUAUAAUAAAAAUCAAAACAAAUUAUAAAGUUUAGUUUUCAAUAAACUCAAUAUUAAAAGAUAAAAUUAAAAAAAAUCAAUUAAAAAAAUAAUCUCAAUCAACUUAGAUUAACUUAUCAAACUUAUAAUCUAGAUUAUAAAACUAUGCUAUGAUAACACAAUAAAAAAAUUGAAAAAAAUUAUUAACUUUAAUUCAAAUUGUGCCCAGCUGCCUUCUUCAGGACGCCUAGGCUAAAAGAGCUGGGCCCAUUCGUUCUAGGCUAGGGAAGCUCGGUCAAGUUGUUUUUAAAAUUAUUAAGAAAAUAAAAAUAAAAUAAGAAGCCUCCGGUUUUUUCUCUUCGAAAACCUUUUUAUAUAUAUAAAAUAGGAUGAAAAAAAGAAGCCAAAAGCAUUGUAGAUGAACAAUUUCCCAUCCAACAUCGAGCUGCAGUGUAGAAGAAAACACCAUAAUCAUUCAAUUUUUCUUCGAUAAUUAAUAUUACAAUUUGUAUUUGAUAAUUAACAUAACAACGAGCGCAUCCGUUUGGGCUGCAAUCAUCCCGUUGGCCUGGGUUUUGACCAUUUGUCCACGCGAUUCCGAGCCUUUUCAGCCUGCAAAUAAAUUUCUCAAAACUUGCGAGUAAAAGAUCAUAUGGAUUCAUGUUGAAGCUGUACAGCAUCAGUCAUCAAUAUAAAAUUCUACCUCUUUAUCCCAGUUAAAUUUCAUCGUUAUGAUGGCCAAGGUAACAGUUUGAGUAAAAGUUCCGCCAAGAAUCAUCCCGCACCAGAUGCCCUGGUACAUCAAAAAAAAAUAAAAAUUAGAAAACUCUUUUUUUAUUGGCCGUUAUCUUGUAAAAAUGUCGAUUGUUUUUUCUCCAAACCCCAAUUGUCAAUCGGAAAAGUAGUUUACUCUAUGUUCUGCUAGCUAUUAUCUCCUGCAGAAUAGACGAAAGGAAAAGUCAUGGAAGUAAAAGAGAUCCCAACUAUGGAAACUUACCUUAAUACCCAACUUGAAGACCCAUCCCAUAAGAAAUCCAAGAGGGAGCCCAAUAAUGUAGUAGCAGCCAAGAUUUACAUACGCGAUCUUUGUUUGCGACCCUGAUCCUACGGCCACUCCUGUCACGGCGAAGACGGUUUCUUUUAAUGGAUAGAGAGGAAAUCGGAAGGGACAACCAGCUCCUCUAUAGCGAUAGCACAGAAUUAACAGUUUUUUUAUUAUUAUUAUUGAAUAUUGUUAAGUUAUAAUUAAUUAACUGGAAGCUCGAAAUCACCUGACAGAACCGGUUGAACAUUAUUAAGGAGAAUACUAAUGGCUAAGAGGGGCGAGAGGCUAUCAACCUCAUGGAUAACAUCAGCGUCAGAAGUGAAUGCCAAAGCAAUCUUGUUCUUCAAUAGCAUGAUAAGCACGCACAACACAAGUCCAGUUAUAGUUGUUUGUGCCACUGAAACCAUUGUUGCAAAUUUUGCUGCUUUACUAUUCCCAGCUCCUAAUUCAUUGGACACUCUCACGCUGCAAAAUUGAUGAUAGAUUUCUUUGAGUGUAAGAUCAAGAAUAGCUAGCUACUAGAUUAUAUAACCAACCAAAGCAGCUCUAAAUGCCUGAUUUGGGAGUUGAAAUGUAUUCAAAGUGUUUACAGGAAUGGACUUCUGAUUCUAUCUCGUAAGAUUUAUGGACAACUUCUCGAUAAGGUAGUGACAUUAUUUGAACUCGAAUUAAAACACUAACAUGGCCAUGCCGCCACACAUACUGACUACACAAUGUGUUCUAGGAUAUUACAGGUAAGAAAAAGAGGUUCAAAAUAGUACCCCGCAGCUGCAUAGAAGGCCAGGGGAAUCAUGAGUUCCCACCCAAUAGUACCCAUGCUGCAAAUUUUCAAUCCUUGGUUAAAGCAAGGCUUACAGAAUCGCGAGCUAAUAACAACUGCAAAGACAGCAAAGGAAAAACCGUCUCUUACCAAACUGAGAGAGCAUCCACAGCAAGUGUCGAGUUUUUCAAGUGCCCAGUCAUUAUUAUAAGUAUUCUAUAGUACCAAUUCUCCAAGCUGCAGCAAAUAAGAGCUAGAUGUAAAUUCAUGGUUUAACUGUAUUAAAUUCGCUGCUUAGUUAACGUUCUUGGUAGAGCGUGGAAAAACAAAAUAACAAUAUUAUUUGCCUUCGUAUAUGAUAUUUUGCUCAAAUAUGGAUUAUAAAUGGGUAAAAAAAGAAAUUUGUUGCUUCAGUUCACGAACUAUAUCCACCUGAUGAAUUAGUGAUCUUCACUUUUUUAGCUGGAUACAAACACGCACCAACCAUUUUGACUACCCCUCAAAACAUAAGGCUCCAUGUAAUUGACCUUGCUCAACAAGAAUCGAUAUGUAGAUCACUGUGUUUUUUUUUUCUUAAAAAAAAAGAUUAUCAAAUUAUAACCGUAUCAAGAUUUGGAAGAUAUUUUUUGAAAGAAAAAAAAAAUCAUUCUGAUUAAGGUAUUCGGCAAGAAUUAAGGGAAUUUGGAGGAGACAGGACUACAUACCAGAGCAUGACCCCAGAAGCAACAGAGAGCUUGACAAAUUCCCAUAGCCCAGAAAAGGCUUGGACGGAAAACCCAGUCCAAGUAGAAGGGCACCGACCACAAGAACAAUAAACGAACAACCCAAGUGUUAAAGCCCACCAGGAUAUAUCCAAAGCAAUAGCCACGCCAACAACUCCGAAAUCGAGCUCGUAAAUGAAGAGCCAACUUGUCAAGGCAUUGAUCCCCAAGCUCACCAAGGAAACCCAGGCAGUCACUUGAUUCUUUAGCUGGCUCUGCAAGAACGUCCGCAAUGGGAACAGAAAUGCAAAGCUAAAGUGCAAAGGUAUCAACCAUAAAGCCACCGCUCCCGCCAUCUUUGCCACUUCAUCAGCCUGACCUAGACGUUUGAGAAGUGGAGUGGCAAAAACGUAAAAUGGCAAAAGCAUGAAACAACACAAGAACAGAACAACCCAAGAUCUUUGCAUGUAGAUGCCCAACAUAUGGUAUCUUUCAGCCCCAAAAGCUUGCCCACAAAGUGUCUCUAAAGCACUUGCCAUUCCUAACUAAAAUGCGAAAACAUCCCCUAUUAGAGCAUAUAAUGGAAAAAAGAAAAAUAGAAAAGAAGUUGGUUAGUUUUGGAGAUAGAAAAUGAAAAUCAAAUAAUAUCGCACCAGGAGUCCAUAAUUGAAGCCAACAAUAACGGUAUUCGAUAUGGAGAUAGCAGCGAGCUCAACACCACCAAGAUGACCAGCAAAAGAUUGAGUGAUCAUGUUCAUGGAGAACAUGGCCAUAAGACUGAAGAUGGCAGGCCCUGCAGUUUGCCAUAGCUUCUUUGUUUCAACCCAGAUUCUUGAUGCAAGAUCGUUCUUGUUUUCUUGAUCAUGUUGAUCUUGGAGAUACAAGGCUUGAUUACGUUCACUAUCUGUGUCAACACUCCCCAUCGAAAGGGAAAAAAUGCAAUGUAAUCUAGGUUCUUAUUUGCUUUUGAGCUAGGGAGAGAGUUUGUUGGAUGUAUAAAUAAGAAAAGGUUUCAUGGUUAGUAAAUUUGCUGAUAUAUGUUUGAUAUGGUUGGCAAUCAAGUGAAAGGGCAUCUGGGCAUGGAUUGUAUAGGCUUGAGGACACAUGGAGGUAAAGGUGGCAAAUGAAUAUGGGAAUGGGUAUUGGAAAUAUUUUGCCCAUUUACGUUUAUGAUCCGUUUAUUUUUAAUAUAUAGAAACUCAAACCUUAAUUCCGAACAUUAACUCAUUUAAAUUAUUUUUACAUAUUAUCAUUAUAUCUAUCUUUUUAUUUAUUUGACUAACGUACAGAUUAUAAGUUUAAUUAAAGUGAACUUUUUGACAUACAAUGAUCUAAUUGUAAAGAAGUUUUCAAUUUAGCAACUACUAUUUAUGAUAAAUAUAUAAGGACAAAAAAUCUCCAAUUAAACCACUUCUAUGAACACAUAUGACAUAUAGCUAAGACUAGUUAUUGGGCCCAUAUUUUGUUACAGGCGGAUAAUUUUUUUAUUAAAAAAAUAAAUAUGAAUAUUUUAUAAUGUAUUUUUUAUAUAAAAUAACUCAAUUUAUAAAUCAAAAUAUCUAUAUACAUAUCUAAUUAAUUAAGUCAGAUUAAAAAAUAAAAAUUAAAAUAUUUGGUCUUUCAAUACGAGUUAUUUAUUCAAUUGUAUUUAACAACUUUAUUUUUUAGAAUAUUUUUUUAUUUAAUCAAAUAAUUAUCCAUGUUAAUAAAAAUUAAAAAAUACUAAAAAUAUAUUAAAUAAAACUAUCAACCUCAAUAUAAAACAACGUAACCUUGUUUAAUGAAUAUGGAUUUCACCCCAGAUGGAUUAACUUAAUCGACAGGCAUCCAAGGGAAGCGGGAUUGGCUAGUUUUGGUAAGGUAAUAUCUAAUUAUCUGGAUUCUAGCUAGCAACGCUAGAAGGAAGGUACAUGGAUCUGUAAUGGCUUAUGUUGUUGAAGCUGGAGGCACUUGUAUAUCCCGCUCGAACGAAAAACCACUGGAAGCCCGUCUGACAAGCAAAUUUUGCGACGGAGACGGUGGUUUUUGGAUGUAAAACACCAUUUUGAGCAGCAACAGAAACAGGUCGGAAGGACACUGCAGGUUUAGCUACAGGGGUCUCCCUUGUAUAUCAGCAUAUUGGUUUUUUUUUUUUAUGAUUGUAAAUAAUCAUAUCACAUGUUUAUAAACUAAACAUUUUUUUUUUCACUUCUCUGAUUUUUAUUUUUAAGUAACUUUUUGGACAACAUAUACGCAGUUCGCAUAAAAGUGUGUUAGAACAUUGAAAAACCAAGAGAGAGGAUUUUGAUUUGCGACAAAAAGUAAUUUCGUGUUUGUCAAAUUGUCAAUAGCAUAUAUGUGGUAGCGAUGGUUUGAUAAAUUAAUUUUUAUUUUAAAAUAUAUUAAAAUAAUAUAUUUUUUAUUUUUUUAAAAUUAUUUUUUACAUCAGCAUAUUAAAACAAUAUAAAAAUAUCAGAAAUAUAUUAAUUUAAAAUAAUAAAAUAAUAAAAUUUUAAAUUUUUUUAAAAUACUUUCAAAAACACAAAAUCAAACAUGGCAUUUCAAGAUAGAGCGGGUUGAGGACCGUACGAAUCAAAAUGGUCAUGAAGAUGGUCUCAGGCUGGGCAAGAGCUAAUUACCAUAAAAUCUAAUCUGGGCCACAUCAGCCGGCCCAUUUCAUCUGAACUUGAAAACAUACCUUAAGAGUUAAGACCCGUCCAUAAGAUAUCCAAGCGCAGCCCUGAUUUACAUUUGCGAACUUUUCUUGCAAUCCGGAUCCUACUCCGCUCCUGUCACGUUGAAGGUGGUUUCUUUUUCCAUGGAUAUAAUAGGGACAAGACUCCUCUUUUUGUUUUUUCUCGAGAAAUAAUUGUAGGAACAAAUUAUAACUAAUUAAUUAACAUGCACCUCUUUUAUUUAAUUCUGUAUAAAAUAAUUAACAAUGUUUUUUUUUUCUCAAACUUAAAUUUCAGAAUUUCAUAUUAAUAACUUUUUGAAAUCCAUCGACACCACAUAUUAUUUAUUUAUUUUCUUUAGAGGGGGAGAGAAAUUACUUUAGACCCGUUUGUUUUUAUAUUUUAAAAGUGUUUUUUUAAAAAACUAAAUUUUAUUUUAUUUUUUCUUUACUUCAAAUUAAUGUUUUUGGUCUUUUCAGAUCGUUUUAAUAUGUUAAUUUCAAAAAAAAAUUAAAAAAUAUUAUUUUGAUGUAUUUUCAAGUAAAAAAUACUUUGAAAAAUAACCCUUAUCAUAUUUAGAAUUUUCAAGAAAAAGUUAAUUAAUUGAUUAAUAAAUACAUGAUAAAUAUCUGGAAAUUGCCAUCAAAAGAGGGCAUCAAAAGAGUGGAAUGCAAACAUGUGUACAGCGAGUUGGUCGAAAUUUAUUGGAACAUUAAUUAUUGAUGGAUGUGUUUUGAAUGAUCUCCCUAGGUCUGUUUGUUUCCAUGCUUCUUUGUUUAAAGCCAACCAUAUUUGGUAACGGCUGAAAAUUUAAUUCUGCCAUGUAGGUCCUAGCAAGGCACUGCGUUAAAAACACAGAUUACUAGAAGCAGCACAGUGCUACUUUCAGUGUAGAGCUUUGUUCACUUAAAAAUAACGGUGGAGACAUGCACCACUUCAUGUAAACAGUUAUGCAUGUCUCCCGUUGGAUCGGGUCUGGUUCAAAACUAAAUACAUUGAACAGAGUUCGACUCAGUAAAAAAAAUUAAAAUUUAUUUUUUAUUUUUAUUUGUAUUUUAUUGAUGACGUAGCAUUUGCAGAUUUGAUCGCAAUCCCAAUUUUGUUCCUGAUUAUAUUUAACCUGAAGUUGUUACGCGCUUAAGAAACCAAGAAAACUGUAGCAUUGUCGGGUGUAUUUUAUACGUGAUGAAAUUGUAGAUAGUUUAAUUGAAUAAUAAAAAAUAUUUUAUAUAAAUUAUUAUUUAUUUCAUGAUGUAAUAAUAAUAGUUAAAUCUAUAAUAUUUAAAUUAAAAAUCAUCAAAAUAUAUAUAUAUAUAUAUAUAUAUAUAUAUAUAUAUAUAUAUAUAUAUAUAACCUCAAUUUUUUUUAAUCAUUAAAUUAUUUUUUUGUUUAAUCUCAAAUUGAAACACAAUUUUAAUCAAACUAUAUUCUAUUGGAGAUCUUGCUGUCAUAUUAAUUAUGUUGAUUCACAAGAUUGAUAUGUUUUGGUAAAGAAUUCAAGAUCUGCUUUGCUCUUUAUUUAAUUUUUAAAAUAUAUAUUAUUUUAAUAUAUUUUUAAAUAAAAAAUAUUUAAAAAAAAAACAUGUUCCUUCCAAACAUAAAGAUUUUUUUCCAGAUUCAGAAAAGAUAUGAGCAAGAAAAGUUCUAUAUCUCGAGUAUCUUGCGUUUAUUUUUAAUUUUUUUUAUAAUAUGGAAUCUUAAUUUAUUUUUAAUUUUCAAUCAAUUUUAAUGGCCAAUUUAGAAACAAUUUGGGAACGCGGUACAAACCGCGUUCCCAAAAAAAUUUUAAUUUUUUUUUUGCUAAAAUUUAAUAUGUUUUGGAUCGUUUUGAUGUGCUAAUAUCAAAAAUAAUUUUUAAAAAAUAAAAAAAAUCAUUGGCAUGCAUUUCGGUACAAAAAGUUAUUUAAAAAGCAACCACAACCACAACCACGCUGUCAAACAUACUUUUACUCUGGCUCCAACAAUGCAAACUGCAUUUUGCUUUCACUAUUGAAUUUCUCAAGUCAUUCACAUUUGAUUGGAAUUCUUUUUCAUUCUGGUCCAUUGAGAAGCUUUAAACAGUGUUCUAUGAAGUCUAUGUAACAUUUUUAAAGCAGACCACCAGUCAUAAAAAGAAAAGGCAAUAUAAAAUCCAUGAGUAUUUGUGAAGAUGUAAAGGCAAGAGAUCGGAUUUUUUUCAGGGAUUUCAUAUUUUUCUGAGAUUAGCAUAUAACACGUAUUUUGAGGCAAUGAUUUUAGUUUGAGAAAUUCCAAAAAGCUGGCUGACGACAAUGGGGAUGAACUGGCUUGAUAUGACCGUGUUUUUCAAAUAGGGAUUUGAUGCUUUGACUUCAUUAGGACUGGAAGCACCAAGCAUUCUGCUAGACAAAUGCAGAUAUUCCCAAUAUUCAUGUUACAGCAGCAUCAAGAGAAACAUGGAGGAAUGAAUAUAUAUUUCUUUGGUAAAAUUAAUAUUAAUUUGCUUAGCGUGUAAGAAAUGCAAAAAUGGAAAAACAAAAUCAUGUGCUUACAAAGAAACUCGGUUGCUGCCAAUAGGGUAACACUUUACCGCUCUAAAGACAAUGAAAUGUAGCUUAAAUAAUAAAAGUUUUCUACUCCAAGAAUUUUUUGUGUAAACCUCUUCUUUGUAAUAAACCCCUCGAGGACUGUUAUCAAAUUGAGUCUCUUUAUCAUUGAACAUCUGGCUUCGAUUGCGACCACUUGUUUACAUUAAUGCGUGCCUUUUCCGCCUUCAAAUUCAAUGCAUUGACAAGUAAAGGAUCAUAUAAGAGAAACAUUUAUGCAUUGUAUAGAGUUGAAGUUUUAAAAGAGAAGUCAGUUUAUGCUUCCUACCUCCUUAUCCCAGUCGGAUCUCAUGGUUAUGAUGACCAAUAUCACCGUUUGAACGGCGGUUCCACCAAAAAUCAUCCCACCCCAGAUGCCCUGGUAUACCCACAACAGCGAUCCGAGAAACAAACUUCUAUUAGCAACAAAGAAUUAACAAUCUCUUGAUUGCACAGAAGAGAAAAAAGAGAUUUGAUGAAAUGACCGCUUGAGAUAUUCAAAUCCAUAUUGUUGUGAGCGCUCCUUGCAAAGUACUCAAGGCUUGAGAUAUUCAAUCCAUAUUACUUGAAAAAAAGCUUUUUUGAUCGGUGGAAUAAAUUUAAUUGAAGGCAGUUAACUCACCUUAACACCCAACUUGAAGACCCAUCCUAUUAGAAAUCCAAGUGGGAGCCCAAUAAUGUAGUAGCAGCCAAGGUUUACAUAUGCAACCAAUGCUUGCCAUCCUGCUCCUACCGCAACUCCUGCCAUGGUGAAGGAAUUGGUAAUAUAAUUUGAAUUAGAAGGAAAGAGCACAGGAAUUGAGGUAAUGUGUCAGCAAUUCUUUUUAUUUUAUUUUUGUGUGUGUGUGUGGGGGGGGGGGGGGGUCAAAAUUGACAAGGGGUUUGAAACUUACCUGAUAAAACUGGUUGAACGCUGUUAAGAAGAAUAGUAAUGGCUAGAAGCAGGGCCAGGUUAUCAACCUCCUGGAUAACGCUGGAGCUAGAGGUGAAUAUUAAUGCAAUCUUGUUGUGUAGCGACAUGAUAAUUACGCAAAAUAUAAGUCCAACUAUAGAUGAUUGCACCACGGAUACUAUAGUUGCAAAUUUUGCUCCCUUGCCAUUUCCAGCUCCUAACUCAUUAGACACCCGUACUCUGCAAAUUUGACGAGCUUUUCAUGGUUGUAAAUUCAACAAGAAGACAGAGAUAUACGAAUCAUUUCUUGAAGUGAUAGCUUAAAUAGCACUGUGUGUAACUGACCCCAAUCCCAAAUACAAGGAGUACAUCUUCUUCUCUUUAUCACCUCAAAAUCUAUAAUUAUUGAAUUAUGUUCAAAAGAUCAGGAAAUUACCCUGUAGCUGCGAAGAAGGCCAAAGGAAUCAUGAUCUCCCACCCAUUAAUACUCAUGCUGCAAAUUUCAAUCAGAAAUAAUAAUUAAAGUGGAGAUCAUAAUAAGUAUUUUACAGAGGCGCGCAUAUUCUUCUUUCACAAAAAGAAUCUGGCAUGUAAAACAGGGUUUAUGAUAACGAGAAAUUAAAGAAGAGAUAGAACACUUUAAAAAGAACUCAAUCGUUAAAAUCUCUUACCAGACUGACAAGGCAUCCACAGCAAGCGUUGCGUUCUUAAAGUACCCUGUCAUUAAUAUCAGUAUUCUGUAGUACCAAUUCUCCAGGCUGCGUACCAAAGCCAGAUACAAAGAGCAAGUUAUUAUUUUCUUCUUUUUUCUAUUUAAUUAUGAGCAAUGCUGCGCAAACAAAUAAAUCAUACAAUACAAGAUUCUCUGUUCAUAUAUGGCUAAUCAUUUUUAAAAAAAAAAAAAAACUACAACAACAAUAAUUUGAUGACAGGAUAUGGCAAAAGAAAUGAAGCGUAAUGGAAAAAGAAAAAAGAAAAAAGAAAAAGCUAAUGAAUAGACAUAUAAGCAUCUGACUAGUUCAUUCUCCCAAGAAGAAGCCCGACAAGACUUAAGCCCAAGAUCAUCGGCAACUACCAGAGGAUCCAACGCAAGAACCGACCUAUUAGAAAAAGAUUAAGAGAAUUUGAUAAAUAUAUUCUUAGUUCAUCAAUGAACUAAACCCCAUCCCUUUUUUUUCCACCGCCCCUAAAUAUUAAAAUAUGCUUUUUUAUUUUUAUUUUUAUUUUUAUUUCACAAGAGAGAUGUUUGGACUCCAUGCUUCUUGAAGGGAGCACACACCGAUACCAGUCAGCUGCAAUUUAUUAACAUGUAUUUAAGCCUUACCUUAUCUCUCUUAGACAAACAGUCCUUCGAAAGUUAAUUGAUUAUUUUCUUUCAUUUUAAUUAGAUUUUUCUUUAUAACCACAUCCACUUUAAUUAGACAGGAGCAAGGGAAGUUUGAGGAUGAGAAGAAGAUACCAAAGCAUGACUCCAGAAGCAGCAGAUAGUUUGACAAAUUCCCAGAGGCCACAAAAGGCUUGUGCCGAAAACCCAGUCCAAGUAGAAGGACACCAACCACAAGAAGUAUAUAUGAACAAUCCAAUAACUAUAACCCACCAAGAUAUAUCCAAAGCAAUUGCAGCACCAAUAACUCCAAAAUCAAGCACAUAAACAAGGAGCCAACUCGUCAACACAUUGACCCCUAGACUCGCCAAAGAAAUCCAGGCUAUCACUUGAUUCUUUAGCUGGCUCUGCAAGAACCUCUGCAAUGGGAACUGAAAUGCAAAGCUAAAGUGUAGCGGUAUCAACCAUAAAGCCACCAAUCCUGACUGCUCUGCGACGUCGUCGGGCUGGCCUAAGAAUUUGAGAAGUGGAGCGGCAAAAACGUAAAAAGGCAAGAGCAAGAAACAACAGAAGAAUAGAACAAUCCAUGAUCUUUGCAUGUAAAUUCCCAACAUAUGGUAUCUCUUUGCACCAAAAGCUUGCCCACAUAAAGUCUCUAAAGCGCUUGCCAUUCCUAGCUGUUUUUUUUCAAAACCACUUUAAGAAGUUUAGACAAUAGAAAGGAAAAGGUGCAAGAUUGAAAGCGAAAUUUCCAAUAGCAUACCAGCAGUCCGAAAUUGAAGCCAACAAUAACAGUAUUGGCUAUGGAGAUUGCAGCAAGUUCAACAUCACCAAGAUGGCCAGCGAAAGCUUGGGUGAUGAUGUUCAUGGAGAAAGUGGCCACCCUGCUGAAGAUAGCAGGCCCAACGAUUUCCCAUAGCUUCUUUGUCUCAGUCCAGACUCUAGACGCAAGCGGGUCUUGAUUUUCUUGACCGACAUCGUGGUUGACUGGAUCAUCUGGUAACAAGGUAUCAUGGAGAUCAUCGCCAUUUCUGCUGAUUGUGCCCAUUAAAGAAAAAAUGCACCACUAUAUUUUUCUUCGCGACUUUUGAGGAAGCUAGAGAGAGCGCUGGGGGGAGAGAGGGUCAGAAAGGAAAGGUAUAAAUAAAAAACGUUCUUACCCAAAUCUGGAAUUAUGAAAAAUAUGGACAGAUUAUUGUGGACUGCCUGUUACUGGAGGUCCAGGUUACUGUUCACCAAAUUAUUUCUAGCGUUAGAGCUGUCUUCCAUAUAUAUAAAAAAUAUAUCAUAUUUUCAUUAUGUAAAAAAUCAUUAUCAAUUUUAUUUUUUAAGAUAGCGUUUAAUAUCAUGUUAAUAAUUAUUUAUUUUUUAAAUUAUUUUUUAUUUUUAAUAUCAAUACUCAAAAAAAUAUCAUAAAAAUUAAUUCAGUAUAAAAAAAUAUUUUAAAAAAAUGGAUUCCUUGCAUAACGUACGAAAUACCAACUCUCCUUGUAAAUGCUUUUAGGCGACAGCUUUUGAAUGUAAUAAAUAUGCUCGUGGCCUUGGUAGACACAGCUUUUUGAAUCGUAAUUUUCUACGGAAACUAAUUGAGUGAAGAAUCUGAUAUGGUAUACUAUGAUUUUUUCAGUGACGUCAUUUCAUACGUAUGUCACCUAACGUGUUAUGUUGCUGGUUAGGAAUUUGGAGACGUCAGUAUACAACACAGUAUGUCUUUAACAAUUCUACUGCAUUUUAAUUAUUAAUUAAUAGAUUCUAUUUAAAAUCUUCAUUUAAAAAUAUUUAUUUUUUUACAUACUUACUAAAUUGCCUUCUAGAAUUUUACAUCAGUUCCGUUUAUUUUAUGGAAAUUAAUUUUUUAGAAAUUAAUUUUUAAAUUUUUUGUAUUUAUUUAUUAUUAGAAAAAUUAUUCAACGGAAAAUACUUUCUAGUUAAAAAAAAUUGACUUGAUUUUUAAGAAAGUGUUUUUUUUUUAUUUUGAGCGAAAAACACUGUUCAAAAGUUGUAAAAAAAUUAAAAAUAUCAUGUUAUUUACUGAUUAUAUCAAAUUUGAUCCUCAAACUUUUGAUUGCUAUAUAAUUUAUUUUGAUUUUUUUUUCAAUUUCAUCCCUUAAAAUUUAAUUUAAUUUGAUUUUUAUAUCAAUUUUUGUCCUUAUUUUUUUUAUGAUUGUUAUUUUCUUUUCUCUUAUUAUUUUUUUAAUUGAAAUUUUUUAUUUAACAGAUUUGGUUCUUAUUCUUUUAAUUGUUAUUUAUUUUAUUUGAAAUAAUUUAUGAAAUUAUAAUUCUUUUUAAAUUUCAUCAUCUUUCAAACUUUUUAUCUUUUAGAUUUGAUUUUUAUUAUUUUAUUUGUUAUUUAUUUUAUUUGAGAUAAUCUAUAAAAUUAUAUUUAUUUUCAAUUUUAUUUUCAUUUAACUUUUAAAUUUGUAAGAUUUGUCACUAAUUGUUUUAAUAAAUAAAAAAUAUUAAUAAGUUAUUUCUCAACUCAUUUUCCAUGAUAUAACCAAACACUUGAAAGUGUUUUUCAAUUUAUUUUUUAUGAUACUAAAUAAUUCACUUCUAAAAAUUUAUUUUCUUAAAAAAUUUACUUUUUAAAAUUAAAUAAUUUUCCGGCAAAUAAACAUGGUUUAAUACUCCAUCAUAAAGUACAAUAUCUCCUGGAACAGUAUAAUCUAACGAUUUCAAUCUAAUAUUCCGUUGAUUAGUGAGCUGGUGGCUUUUUUAAGGCUUCCGGGGAUUUUUUUCCGUUAAAUGUUUUUAUUGAAUAUUCAAAGGUAAUUUAAAAAAAAAUUAAAGAAUAGAAUUUUUCUGAUUAAAAAUUUCUAAAAUGAACUUAUCAUUCAAAAAAUAUUUUAUUAUAAUUUAUUUGUUUUUUAAUAGUGAGAAGUGAACGUAUUGGUAUAUUUUUAAUUAAUAUAUACAUGCAAGCACGAUUUUUUGUUUUUUUGCAAUGGAUUAAUUUCUUUUUUUGUAUUGAGAUGAGGUUUUAUAUAAAAUAAUUUUUAAAUUUUUUUCAUAAAUACUAUAUGAUUAAAUUGUGAAAUUUAAUUAUCCUUAAAGUUAAUAAAUAUAUGAAAUAAUUUUAACUUUCUAUUUAAAUGUAAAAUAUUAGGAUUUACUUAAUCUACAUUGACCACUCUCGUAUACAUCAAAACGGUGCUGAUGAAAAAUAUUUUUAUAAAUAAUUUAAAUAAAAAUAAUUUAAUUAACCGUCACAGAUAAUACAUUCAAUUAUUAUUAUUAUUAUUACUAUUAUUCUUUUAUGGAUGAGAACAAAAAAGUGGCUGACAAAUUUAGUCACGUUGAUUAAUAUGAAAAUUGACAAUUGAAGUUGACAAAACACCAAUAAUUACUGGCUAACUUGACGAGAUUCGUCAGUUUAGAGUGUUAAAAAUACGUGUCCUUCUUAAACUUUAAAUUGAAAAAAUUGAUCAUUUUAAUUAAUAUUAAACUUGACAUAAUUCGUUUUUAAUUUAUUUUUUAAGUUUAUAACCAACAAUUUCAGCCACGUCAGUCAUAACCGAAACCUGGAAAAAAAAAAAACACGGAGAGUGGAAAGAUUUUAGCAAGAUACUAUAUUUCAUUUAACACUCCAGCUCCAACUUUUAUUUUUUUUAAUAUUAAAAAUAUAUAUAAAAAAACUCUGGUUAUCAAAAUCUAAACUAACAGAUGAGAAGUCACUUGCCGAUAUAAACAAUUAAAAAAAAAACCGAUGAUGUAUCAAUUGUUUUUAAACAAAAAAAGAAAAGAAAAUAAGAUCAGAAUUACGAGUCUAGCUAUAAAUAUUAUUUUUCACACAUGUUGGCAACUUUAUCUGCUACCGGUAGAAUUGUUGGUGGGAAACGAAGAAACUUUUGCAUGGAAUUAUGUUUAGUGUGGUAAUGCGAUUUGUGUUUUUUAUAUUAUUUUUCUGUUAAAAAAAAUAUUAACUCAAAAUUUUUUUAACUAUGACAAAAAACAUAUUAAGAUAAUAACAUUAUUUUUAUUUAAAUAUAUGAUAAAAGAUAUAUUUUUUAAAAUAAAAAAUAAAAUUAAAAAUGAAAAUUAAAAGAAAAAAAUAUUUAAAGAUGACGUUUUAAAUUAAAGAACAAAAAAAAAUAAAAAAAUAAAAAGCCAGGUGCGUGGAUUUAGGUGGCCUAAUAUACGUAAGCCUUAAAAAAACCCAAGCAAGGGCCUCUCAACAUGGACUUGCUUGUCUGGGCUAUGAUAUUUUUAUUUUAUUUUAUAAAGAGACAAAUGACCCGUUUUUUUUUAAAAAAAAAAUAAUACAAGCAAGGAGUUGCUUGUAGAGACAGGCGAUGCGUUGUUUGUUUGUCUAGAUUCUAAUCACUAUUAUAGUGGGAGGAAAUCAGGGCAGAUUUUUGUUUAUUUUAAAAAUAUAUUUUUCAACUUAUUUUCACAUAAAAGUUGUAAUAAACACCUUUAGAGCAUAAGAAAAUAAUUUAUCAACUUGAAAAAGAAAAGUUCAAAAACACAAAAUCAAUCCGAGGUUUUGAUAUGUUUGUUCAAGCAAUAUUGAUAUUUAAAACAAUUACCAUCAAACUCCUCUCGAACUUGUCAACACCAAAAUUAACAUUUUUAAUAGAUGAAAUUGGUGUUAAUCGAUGGCCUGGUCUUUUCUAAUUGGAAUUCAGUGAUUUUCUCUCUUAUUUUUUAAAUCACAGACUAAAAAUUAAAAAAAAUAAUUUUUCGUACAGAAACUGAAAUCACAAAAACUAGAGGGACUUUCAUUGAAAAAGAAAAUGUAAAAGGACUAAGAUGAACCUUUUCCUUAAAUUUUAUACUGGCCAUGGGAUUUAUCUUUAUUUUAUGCUAUAGUCACCUUUUUUUAUUUUCCCAUCCUUGACAAAUUUUCACAUAUUUGUCAUAAAUUUGCCCAUUGAAGAUUGCAAUUGAAAAAAAAACAAGGAAAAAAAAUUUCAGUGUAGCUAUAACGAAAUACCUAAGCAUUUUAGUAUAUUCAGUAAUUUGAAUAUAUAGUCGUCGGCUUGUUGUUAAUUCUCAAUUUCUUAAAAAUAUCUAUUUUGCAAUCGUUAAAACUUCAAGCAUCAUGUUUUCCGCUGUAUAAUAAUAAAAGCUUGAAAUAAAUCAAGUGAUAUAUUUUUCCUGUGAUUUUAAAUUUGAUUUCUAUAUUGCUAUAUGAUAUCUAUUAAAAACUUAUAUAAUUAUUAAUUUUAAAAUUCAUGAGAUUAGUCGAGAUAUAUACAAAUUAGUCCAAACAUUUAUAUUAAUAAAAAUAUAUAUAUAUAUAUUUCUUUUUAAAUGAUAUUUAUAUUAGAAAAAACCCCUAAUUUUCAAGCUCUUACUCCACGGCGUACGUAUUGUUACGAGAGAAAGGGACAGUGCGACUUUUCUUUUAGCCUUUUAGGUCAGUGGCGUCACCGGUAGGCUGAGAUAGGACUGUACAUGCUGAGCUGGCGAAUUAUAGAGUAGACAGUAGACAGUACAUCCACUAGAGAUCGUUUUGUAAUGGCCCGCAUUUAUUGCCACAGUUGCCAAUAAAACAAGAAACUAAACCAGCCAUCUACGUGUGUGCAUAUUUUCUUUCCAAGCCAAAGAUAUUUUUAGGAAAAAAUAAAAACCAUUAUGUAGCCUCUUCCUUUUAUUUAUUUUUUAUUUAUCAAUGAGAAUGGGUGGAUGAAUCUCUUUUUGGUUCAAUUACCGGAAGACAGUAUGGAGUGUAAAAUUACCCCCAAAUUAUCAAUAUUAUUUCUUUUUAUUCCUUCUCCUAUUUUUUUUUGUCUCGAAAGGUAUAUAUCUAAACAAAUUUGUAUUUUUAUAUCAACAUAAAUUUGUAUUUGUUUCUCCAAUCAGUACUACUAUUUUUUUUUUAAUUUUAAUUAUUUCCUAGCUCUUUCUUCUAGUAGUUUAUCCUUGAAUUUAUCAGUGAUUUAAACAUCUUUAAAAACUAAUGUUUGCAUUUUGUUUUUCAUCGUGGACAUUCUUAAUUAACAAUUACUCUUACUGUAAUUAUUCUUCUACAGUCCUAAUUUCAAUUUUUAUCCUCGUGGUAAUUGUUACCUUAAAGGAUUGUGAGAAGUGACGUGAGAUUAGGCUCUGUCCGUACAUUCUUAGGUAUUGUUGGUUUGUUGCCAAUAAUUAAAAUAACAAUAUGCUUCCCGACAAAUUAAUCAAUUAACUGUGCUACCAAAUCGUAUUUAGAAAAAUCAAACCCUAAUCACAGGAAGAAUCCGAGAGGACGAGAGAAAAUAUCCAAACCAUGAAAAUUAUACAAAGGGAGCUAUCCUUUUCUGCGUGGGUCAAUGCCAGCAAAUAGAAGAGUCGGACAAGCAACUUCUUUUAUCCGACUCUCACUGAUGGCGUCAAAUUGACAUAAUGACUGUACCGAGCUAAUGUGUUCAAGGAGCCGAAAAUUAAAUUACCAGAUAGAUGAAUGCUCGGUGUUUGUUAAUUUACUUCUUCUUUUCCUUCCCUUUUCUGAUUUUCAUAAAGAGCGUCCAAUAGUGAAAUUUCUAAAUUCCGAGCACGAGUGCUAUGAUUAAAAACAUUUUCAAGCAAAUCGUACGUCGUCUUUAAAGAAAAUCGAGAGGCACUCGAUUGGCUCGAUGAAGAAACACUCUUUGUCUACUAUUAUCUGGAUAUUAUUAUAAUUUUAAAAUACACUCUUAAUUGGUAACCAACCAACUAUCUCUGGCUACCAAUGCACAAUUUAAACCUAAAAUCCUUUUUAUUCUCAUUUCUUUAUUUUUUUUCCUCGUUUCUCUCCUUAUAGCCACUCACCUCUCCUUCUCUUACCACCGCCUGCAACCUGCCCCCCCCCCCUCCCCCUUCUCUCUCUCUCUCUCUCUCUCUCUCUCUCUCUCUCUCUCUCUCUCUCUCUCUCUCUAUAUAUAUAUAUAUAUAUAUAUAUAUAUAUAUAUAUAUAUAUAUAUAUCCAAAUUGACGACAAUCUCUCUUGAUAACAUUGAAUGUUAGAGUUUUAAAUUAGAGGUUAGGUUAAUUAAAUAUAAUUUAAGUUGAUAAUUAGAUUAUUUUGUUAACCAACUAAUGAUUUUAGGUUGUUAAUUGUUGAUUGUGAAUUAAUAAAGUUAUGUGAUAAACUAGUUAGUGUUGAUUUAUAUUAAAUUAUGAAUUAUACCGAAUUGUAUAUAAUAUAAUAAUACUAGCUAUAAAAUAUAUAAAUUUGAUUGAUAAUUUUGUUAUGGUAGUGAAAUUUAAUGAAUGUAGGAGUUCGCCGAUUAAUUUGAUGAGUUUAGAUUUUAGCCGAUUAUAUUACUGUUAUGGUUUUCUUAAUAAAUCACGCAAUUUGAUUAACUUCAAUAUAUUAAUAAAUUAAAAUUAUGUUUUGUUGUGUUGUGUUGUUUAAUAUAAUGUCUGAUGAUUUAGAAAUGUUAUACUUUUAUAGUGAUAUCAUUGUCAAUACUGAUAAUGGUAUCAUUUAUAAUGGAGGAAGUCAUGAAUUCCUAACUGCUAUAUCAGACAUUUUCUUUAACGAGUUAUCUAGAAUUUUAUGUGAUCAACUUGGCUGGAAUAUAUUUGAAAUAGAAGUUGAAAUUACUUAGGGGAUGUUGCAAACCAAGGUUAGUCAAGCUCGAUUUGUCACUAUACUAAUUUGCAGUGACGGGAGUGUAAAUUCAAUGUUUGAGUUUACGAGGAUUAAUGAGAUUAAUAUGCUGGAGCUCCACUUGAAUAAUUGAACUAGACAAGAAGACUUUUCUGGUAUGGAGUUAACUCGGGUUCAAGUAACUCUCAUAGAACCACACAAACAUCAGAAACAGCUAAUCCAUCUAUGUUAGGUGGUAAUGCUAAUAGACAAAUAUUGGUGCAAAAAAUUAUUAAUAUGGAAGCUCAACUGGGUGUUAAAUUGUCUCCAUAUUGUUAUGGAGAAUCCAUACCAAGUGAUGACUAAGAUGACCAUCACAUUGAUAGAGUUGAGGUUGAGAGGAAAGAUGAGGACGAUGGGUUAGUUGAGCUUGUUAAUCAAUAUAUGGCACCUCUUGCUCCUGAAUUUGAGGUUGUGAGUGCGGAUAACCAAUACGGAUACAUUGAUUGGGCUAAUAGUCAUAGACAUUCAAGCUUAUUAGUUGAUGAAUCGAAGGUUAGAAAAAAAUUCAAAGAGAAGUCCUAACGUGUUAAUGUAGUAAAUAAGUGACAUAUAAAAUUCAUUGCAAUACAAGGGUUUAUCGUUCAACAAAAACCUAUGUUCAUUUGAAGUGUGUUCAAGAACCAUUUUGUAGAUGGUUUUCGCGUAGGAGAUAUCACUAGGAGCGACUCCGUUAAAUUGAUAUCUUUGGACAUUAAUUUUAAGACCUCUCCGGCACAUGUGAUAGAGGACCGGUUGAUUUUGUAUGCUCGAACAUGCGUGUUACAUAUGUUUGGAGGUCUUGUUUUCAUGAGUACUCUUGGUAGUGCAGUACUGUUGUUUUUUCUAACACUACUUAAGAAUCUUUGAGCCAUUCCUAAUUACAGUUGAGGGGACCAUUCUUGCAUAUCUAUACGGGCAACUAUGUAAAGCAUGACUAGAAAAAAGAUAAAUUAUCGGGUGUCUACUAUUUCUUCAGGUAUAUAUAUUUAAAAUUAUUUGAUUAUUAGAAUUGAUGGAAUUUAAAAUACUAGCUUAUAAUUGUCAAUGUUGGUUAAUAUAGCUCAAUCAUAAAAGCAUAUUCAUAUUGAACGUCUAGAGAGUUGGGGUAAUAAUAUGCUAGACAUUGACACUCAUGUGCCAUUAUCCAUCAGUUUUAGAUAAUAAAAAAAGAAAAUUGAUUAUAGUCAACGAGUUAUUUAUAUAAAUUAAAUGUAAAAAAUGUACUAACUUUAUGAUUUGUCAUGUCAUAUGGCAUGAAGCUAGAUAUUUCAUAGUAAAUCUCAUUCAUAUCCACAAGUUUUACCAAUAUGAGUUGGAUGCACAACAACCACAUUAGGUUUGUGUUAUAAAUAUAUUGAAUUUUUUUUUUAUUUGAACAUAAAUUAUUUAGUUUUGAUUUGUUAUCUAAUAUAAGUCUUUCAUAUAUUAUGAUAGGUUAUAUGGAUGUCAUAUAUAGAGGACUUGAUACUUUCAACUUUGCCUAUAUAUCGUAAGGGAUCUGAUCUCUAGUUAGCAUAGGUUCCAUUACACUGCUUUGAUAUUGUUGAGAUGUAUUGUCCAAAUGAGGUAAUGCAAUAGUUUGAAAUAUCUCAACAUAUAUCGGAUUAUGUUGAUACCGGUGACAAGUUGCACAAUAUUAGUUGCCAAGGUAAAUGCGAGGAGAAUUGGUUGGUGAUUCAUCCAUCUUACCUAGAUAUUUGAGAUGCUAACAUAGAUCAUGUUUUUUAGGAGCGACAUCCAACAAUUGAUGUAGAUACUUACAUGAGAUGAUAUCUUUUUAUUACACACUGUUUUAUUACACCUACCCAGUCAUGUUUCCCGGGGUGCCCAUGCAAUCUAAAAAUUGGAUUUCAGUGUACUCCAAUACUUAAAAAUACUAUUUAACAUUCAUUGUAAUAUUGUGAAAAGUACUUUUGAUUCUUGGACAGAGUUACUCAAAAACCCCAUUUUCAUUCACCAAGGUAAAAAAGCUAACUUUGAUCUGAAAAUUAUAUUAAUAUUUAAUGUGAAUUAAACAGUGUUAUCAUUGUUAUUUUUAUAUGAUUUUUUAUGAGUUAAUUAUUCUUUGAUUUUUCAUAAAGCAACAUAAAAACUUUUAUUUUUGUUUACAACUUGUUUUUUACAUUACAACAAGUUUUUUCUUAAAUAUAACAUGCUAAUAACAAACAAAUAUGUUUUUUAUAAAAACAAUUAAUAAAAAAAUGAAAGUUUUGUCUCCAAAAAUAAAAAUCUUCACUCUUUUAUUUAAAUUAUUAAGAUACUUGCAAAUAUUUAUUUAAAUUAUCUUGUAUAUAUUUUCAACUCUUAUAAAUAUUUAUUUUAGUCAUCUUAUAAAUAAAUAAAAAUUAGUUUUGAAAGUUAGGAACUUGACUUAUAGUAUUAUACCGAGACCCAACUUAAGAAUAAUAAUAAAAAAUCCUAUCUUCUCUGACACGCGUAUCGUCAACGGCCUCAAUGAUUGUUCUUGUCUAUUCUGAUAAAUACUCCACGUGACUGCCUUCCUUAUUUCUGGAAAAGCUAUUUAAGACUUUAUUUACUGAAUUGAUUUUCUUUUUCUUUCGAGAAUGCGAAUGAUCAUCGAUAAUUUUUGUCCCACCCGAAUAAUGCGCGCUAUAGGUCCACGAAAGGAAGCCAAGUAGAUCUCGUCCAAGAGACAUCCGUCCCCCUUUGCUACUCUCUCGCCAAAAAAAAACUAAAAAAAGUCCGAAUUUACUACUCCUUUCGUCAAGAAAGUCUGGCGCCCCCACUUCCCUUCACGUUGUUUAAAUAGAAUUAGAAUUCAAUUUUGUCUCCUCUGCCUUGUUCACAUUUUAUCUCGAAAAUUAUCUGGAAAAUACUCUUUUUCCAAGUUCUAUCAUCAUAUUGUUUCUUCGAAGAAAAUCCUUCCGAGACCAUCUCUUCUUUUAAGAUAUGAAGAAACUGUACACUUCGCUAUAUAAUGAUUCUUAGAGAUUAGGCGUUUGACACUACGUUUGAAAAGCAUUUUUAAAAAAAUUUAAUUUUUUUGUUUUAAAUUAAUAUGUUUUUGAUGUUUUCAAAUUAUUUUGAUAUACUGAUCUCAAAAAUAAUUUUUUAAAAAUAAAAAAAUAUUAUUAGCAUACUUUUCUAAGUGAAAAAUACUUUGAAAAGCAACUACAACCACACUUUCAAACACGCACUCAUAUGACCACUUUCUCAUUCUUCUAAAUUUAACUAUUCCAGUAUAAUACUAAAUAACAUGUGAUGUCAGUUAUUUUUUUAAAAAAAUCAGAAAUGUAUUAAAAUAUUAUAUAUUUUUUAUUUUUUAUUUUUUAAAAUUUAUUUUUAACAUAUCUAAAUAUAUAUAAAAAAUUAAUAUUUUUAAAAAUAUAAUUUAACCACAAUUUCAGACACGUCUCACCCACAUCAGAUCUCUAAAGACAGGAGACGUGCCCCAUAUAACUUUUGGACUCCACCAAAUAUCUACUCAUCUAGCCUAAUCGCGGUGAUUAAAAUCGUUGUGUUUUGGGGUCCAGAGCGGAGAAAAAUCUCUGGGCUACAGAAGUAGCACACGUGUUCCACUAUUUCCACUCUUCGUCAAUUGAACUAUUGAAGCCCGUAAUUUAAAAAAGGGGAUCCAAUAUCCCUUCUAUUCCAAUUCAAGAUAGCGUUUAGAGGACAUUAAAAAAUGGGGUGAAAGGGUACAAAAGUAAAUAAUCUCAAUCAAUCAUCCAAACUUGUAAAAAUUGCUUCUCCAAAAUCUAAAAAAGCUCAAUGGAGUUGAAAGUGAGCUCAACCACCGCACCUUUCAUUGUAUUUUUUGCUUUCUUCCUCUUUGACAUUGAACAAGAAAAAUAUGUUGACGUGUUUUAAUGAACAUAACUACUCAAUACCAAGUUCAACUAGUGUGACGACAUCAUCUCUUCAAAGUCUCAUUUAUAUAUAUAUAUAUAUAUAUAUAUAUAUAUAUAUAUAUAUAUAUAUAUAUAUAUGCGCCUUAGUUGCUUGCUAGCUAUAAUAAAAUUCAAUAACAUUAUAACACUAAAAAAAAGCAUAGGCUUUAGGUAAUUCUAGAAAGAAAAAACUGCUUAAAAUAUAGGGUAAAAUAAAAACAGAUACAAAUCAAAUUAAAAAUACGUAUCAUGAUACAUCACAAACAUUUAUUCUUGAAAAUAACUGUAUGUUGAUAUAUCGAGGUAUUAAGAUUUCAUCGAUCAUCCAUAUAAAAAAGAUAUAAACUUAUAUAAUGCAAAGUCAAGAUAGACAAGAUAAAAGAAAUUAACCUUUUUUUCAUACAAUAUCUUAUUGAGAUUCUAUAUUAUAAUUAAUAAAUUAAAUUUAAUUAUACAGCUAAUACAGUUCCGUUUCGACUACCUUAAUACUACACUCCUUCCCUCUUCUUAAUUUCCUGUGUAGCAGCAGUGACUACCUAAGUGAUGUUUUUGAGCAAUAGCUACAUAAACACUUUUUGCACUUUACCUUUGUUGACUGACAAUCAUAUAUGCUUCACCAGUUUGCCUAUCUUUAAUAAUUAAUCCCCGCUGGCCAUGCAUGUGCUUCCUGGAGUCAACAGCAAUAAGUGCUCUUUGAACAGGCUCAUUUAUCCGAACACCUCAAGAUAAUCCCUAGAGCGGGAGAUUUGUUUAAUUGAGACUCAAAAGAUAAAUAAAUAAAAAAAAAACAAUAAUCAUCUUCUAUAAUGCAGAGAUUCAAAUAUAAAAUUAAAAAGAUUACAGUUAACUUGAACUAAACAAAGAGCUUUAAUAAAGAUAACGCAUAACUAUCAUGAGAUUAACGAAGGUAGCUUUUAAUUAAGCAUGAUUGAGAGGACUGCAUGUUCCGAACGAGAAAGCCAAACGAUUAGAAUAAUCACAUAUUUAGCUUGCCAUGCAAACAAAUAACCAUUAUCCUUGAUGCAUUAGAAGUGUCAAAUCUGUGAUGAGAGACGGUAGGCUCCAUGGCUGCAUGUCACUAAAAAAUAUACAGCCUCUUGGGAGGUUGCUCCUUCAAGAGCUAUAGGCACGCCUCUCAUUCAUGACAUCAAUCGAUCAUACAGCCUCGUGGUUAGCUUUUCAUAAUUACUGGCUAUGGGCUUUGAAUUUUACAGCUAACACGCCAAGUUUACUCAAUAUUUUCUAUCGAAGGUCUUGGCCAUGGUGAGCCAGGUGAUGGCUCGAUCGACACCUAACGUUAAAUUGAGACUAGGAGUCAAUGAAGGAACGAAACAGUAAAGCCCACACAAAUCAAGUCCAGUCAUACAGCUAGCAUGGUGAAGAAUAAAAUAAAAGCUGGGCUUGCCAUGCUGGGCUUUACAACUAUGGUACGCAUCCAUCGGAUCUCGUCCUAUCAGAAGAUUAUUUUAAGAUAGUGAUCAAAUCUCCUCCGAUCAGAAGAUAUGCUUUCAGGAUCAAUAUGGGAUUUCUUCAUAUCAAAAGAUGUUUUCACUAUCAUCAUCAGAUCUCUUCAUAUUGCGAGAUCGUUUUAUGGUCGCUAUUAAAUUUCAUCUUAUCAAAAGACCAUUUCAAGAUUAGCAUCAGAUCUUGUCCUUUAGGAAGGCUCUUUUAAGAUCAAACUGGGAUUUCUUUUCGUCAGAAUAUCCUUUCAUGAUCUCUCUUCGGAUCGUAAGGCUAUUUUGUAAACCCGUAAGAGAAAAAUGUUUAUGUCUAGGGGUGAAAAUGCCUUGUAAUUAGUAUACAAUCCUCAAACAAAAUAAGUAAAAAAUAAAAUAAAGCAAACUCAUACUAAGCGCUUUGAAUGAUUAAUAGAAGAAAGUGAUCCGACGAUAAGCUUGCUAACGAAACCGUGAGGUUCAUUAUUUCUAUUUAAGAACCUAUUCCAUUAUUACUUUCUAAAACCCUCAUGUAACAACUUUAGAUAUAUUUUUCAUUUACUCUCAGUGAUAUGAGGAGAUUUAAAAUUCUUCCACACCUUAAAGUUAUCCGAAUCGACUCUUCUCUUAGUAUAGAUAUAUAUGUUAUAAUAGAAAUCAUGCAAUAUGGUUCAAAAAUUCUUUAAACAAAAUAAAUAUAUAAAAAAUUAUAAUUUCAUAAAAAAAAAUACUUCACACGGUAAAACUUAUCUAGUUUCGUUAUGAUUUUCCAAAACUCGCCUGGCUGUCUCAGAAUUUGCAGCAUCGCACCAAAAAAAUUUCUUAUAAUUAUUUUUGUAAAAUAAUUAGUUUUUAAAUUAUUGAUUAUUUAUAUACUAACCUUAAACUUCUCUCACCAUUUCUCAACAAAAGGCAUCCAUUCAAAAUGAUCUCUAAGCUGGCUCCGUCGAAGCAAAGUCACUUUUUAUCGCUGUAAAUGCAGGAAAUGCGGGAGGGAGAAAUAACUUGGUGUCUCUUGUAUGAUUUGUUGGUUGAGAAAGCAUGCUGUUUUCUUUACUCUGUGAUGUCAUCAGAUAAAUAGUACGGUCAAUGUUAUUGUAUGAAUUGACUUCCGUAGACGAGGCGCUACGUAACACAGAACUAAGAUCAAAUGCUCUUUACAAGCUCUUUUUGUAAUUAUUAGUUGAAUUAUGUCCUCAAAGCUUAUCUUAUGCAUAUGAGAUGUCGUUUUCACUCUCCUGCAGAUCAGACCUUAUCUGGUUUGGCUGGAAGUCCAGCAUAUGCUGUCCCUGAAGUUCCAUUGGGAAACUAUUCUGAGAAGGUCGACAUUUGGAGUGCUAAUGUCUCUUCCUACAUGCUCUGUUGGUCGUAAGCCUUCCAUUUCAAGCUGACUCCUUAUAGGCUGGUUGAGGCAAUCAAGAAUGUCCAGCUUGAUCUUCACACAGGGAUAGGAGAGUCAAUAUCGAAUCCUGCACGCGAUCUGUUGCAAGGAUGUUGACAAGGGAUGUAUCAGCCAGGAUCACCACAGAUGAAGUACUUGAUAAAUAUCUGAGACACAAUGAAAUAAGACGACGGACAUAUGAUUGCAUUUUGUUUUCUCUUCUGGGUUCACAUGUCUGCUCGUAUUGUGGCACUGGGUUUUUUGUUGCAAUUUUAUCCAACUAGAUGGGUAGGACUUAGACUACUUAGUGACAACUUCUUUAAUGAGUGGCAGUUUGCCUUUUAAGAGAACCUCACUCUGUAGUUCCUUGUCUGCUUAGCAGCACCUUGAUGACAAGGUUUCUAGGUGAUUGCCUGUGUUUAUCUCCUCGACGAAAUCUCUAUUGUAUACUUGUCUCAGAGGUCUUUACAUCUCUGGGAAGUAACCCCUCUGACUGAAAGAAGAAUUUUCAGCUUCCGUGCUUUGCAUGUGGUGAGCUGCCAUUUAAAUUAGAUUGAUGGUGCGUGAUGCAUCCUUAUAUGUCAAAAAACCUAAUAAUUCUUUGCAAGUUUCCCUAGUGUGAAAUUAGGUUUUCCUUCUUGGUUGCUUGUUUCCAAUUUAAUCUCAAUUUCUAGUAACUCCUCGUAGGUAUAGUAGAAAGUCCUCAAUUCCCGGCCUUAAGGUGCUGGAUUCUUAAUUAAAGGCUACUCCAAAUUUCCUGAGUUGUAAUUUAAAUCUCGUUCUUUUCUUCCUGCGUCAGUUUUUUAUAGUGUACAUUUGUUUGAGAUUUUAACAAACUUCUAGAACUUAAAGAGUUACCAUUUUCACUAGGUUUACAGUCCAUGCAACCUUGUCUUCUCGCAAACGUGAUUGUCAAAUCCAUUUUCACCGAGCUCUUGUUAACUCUCUCGAUUUAUGCAUGGUUUGUGAUCUUUGAUAAGUUUCUUGGACUCUAUAAUGGUGGAAAGUGGAGUUUUUCAUAAAUUUAUUGCUGGUUCUGCUGACUAAAUUGACUGUUAACUAGUGUCUUCCCAGGGCAUCCAUGAUUUUGUUCUACCCAGAGCACCUUAAAGAUACUGUCCAUCAGGUCAAAAACAAAGAAUCAAGUUGCAGAAACUUCGUCCCAACCUGCAAAUGCACCUGUUAGAGUUGGCUGUCCCGAAGAGGACUCAAAUCAGCUUCCAUCUGAUAGUUAAACCUGCAAGUCAGAAGAGCAGGACGAAUAUGAGCAAAAGAGGAGUAGAUGUGGACCCACUGGCCCAAUAGAGCCAGAGUGAUCAUCUAACAUCACAGCGAACAAUUUGUGUAGAGCAUUUUGAUUCUGCUGACAGAUUAACACCACUAACGUUGCUCAUCUCCACUGUUUUGUGAGCUGGGAGAGAAGAUCUGAAACAGCCACACCUUAACUCCAAUUUUCAGUGGGCACUGGGCGAAGAUGGUUACAGAGAAACUUAACCAUAGCUGGUAAAUAUGGUGUCAUUUCUUUUUUAUCAAACAUGACUGUAAUUUCUUUCAGUAGCCAUGUUCUCGAUUUAACUCCAAUAAUGUUUCUAGACUGAUUAGCUGAGAAAUUUGUUGAACAGAAUUUAGUAAAUAGUGCCAAUGAGCAAUUAUGAUUUAUGUAUUGAUGUCAGUUUGCAUGGAUUAGUUCCUUGCUUUUCGAAGUCUGUUUUGGACGUAAAAUUGCAGGCCCUUUCUAAUUUGUUUCAAGGAUCUGUGUAAAAGGGCUCUUCACUUUGAGCUGCAGAGAAGCAAUGAUGUCGAAGUUGAACAACAGUUGAUGCCCUCGGGAUUGUAAUGUAUUGGCAUUGCCUUCCUGAUCCAAUCCCUCUCAAAUGCUAAACUCUGUGCCACCGUCAAUUGUGGAUCUCGAUGCAUAAAAUCUUAUAAACAAUAGUUCCCCAGGUUUUGUUUCUAAACGUCAACUGCUGAACAGGCACAGUUCGAUGAACAUAGGAAUGUGGACCCGUAACAUCUUCUAUUCUUCUCUCUUUAAUUUUAUGUUUGUAGCAAGUUGAUGUGGUUUCAAUAAGGUCUAGACGUUGGAAAAGUGAAUCUUUUCCUUUUUAUGUCUUAAUCUUAUCGCUCGGAACACUAAUCUUAGCCUCUCACGACUAGUUCUCCUCCGCAAGCAACAUGACGUUAUAAUUUCAUAAACACAGGGCCAGUAGCUAAUUAACAAGAUUGGAACAUGACAUCAUGGACAAUAAAUAUUUAAACGCUGCCAUUCAUGUUUGGGAGUGCUGCAUAAAAUACUAGUUUAUAAAAAUUUAAUAUUUAAUAUUUUUUUAUUGUUUUAAUAUAUUAAUAUUAAAAAUAAUUUUUUUAAAAUAAAAAAAAUAUUUUAAUAUAUAUCUAAAAAAUUAAAAAACAAUUAAGGUACGAGAGAAGCUGGCAGUAAAAUAAUCCUCAUCGCUGGACCUGGAGGGGAGACUAGCUAUAUUUUAUGCAUUAACCUUUGACCAAUCACGAUUAACAGAAUUGUUUGUCAGGGCCACUUCAAUCUCGAGAGCUCAACUCCUCACAAAAAGCCAUAAAAGAGGCUACAGGUUUCCACCACUUCCAUUUCAAAACUAAGUUAGGUAUGGAUGUGGAAAAGACCACCAAAACAUUUACCAAAAAGAAGAGUUCAUGUCACUCAAACAAGAUCAUCACAUGUGUUUUUCUACUGCUGCUGAUUCCCAUACUCGUGCAUUUGCAAGCUUCCCCUUUCUAUUUCUUUUCCUCUCCCACUGCUACUUCACGAGCUUUCUUCAACAAAUGGAAAGGAAUAGCACUUGACGCCUCCGCUGGUCCUUCUAUCCCCAAAAACAGUGACGGUUUGAUCUCAAAGCUCCGAGAGUCAGUCACUUUCCUACCCCUGAAAGAUCUGAGGUUCGCUGAAACUGCCAUGGAGGGGAACACUUGGUUUAUGAGCUCCUUGAACGACACCCAUGAGGCGAACGAAGCUGAAUACCUCUAUUUCCCUUCACAAAUGUCCAAGGGGCGGCUUCUAUGCAUCAAAGGACGUCACGCGACAGAUGGCACCAAGAACUCAUACGCCUUGGUUUGGCCAGAAGCUCUUCCAGACUCUGCCACACUCAUGAAGGGCUUGACCUUUGUGUCAGACACAUUCUAUGAUUAUGGCAAUUUGUGGCAUGGAUUGACUGGUAUGGCGCCCUUUGUUGGUUGGUCUAUGAAAAAUAAGUGCCUGAAUCCUACAAGAUGGGUACUGUUCCAUUGGGGAGAGUUGAGGUCUAAAAUGGGGUCAUGGCUACAACACCUAAUGCAAGCUAACUUUGGAGAUGUUAAAAUUGAGGGAUUUGGAGGAGAUGGGCCGUACUGCUUUGAGAAGGCAGUUGUGAUGAGACAUAACGAGGGAAGUAUGGGAAAGGAAAGGAAGCUUCAGGUUUUCGAUUUGUUGCGAUGUAAUGCUAGAAGAUUUUGCGGUAUAAGCCCUGAAGGGAAGGGACAAGAGACCAAUGAAAGAGGUGAACCGAUUAUAAGGCUGACGCUGCUCAUGAGGACAGGUUCAAGGUCAUUCAAGAAUGCAAGCGCUGUGACAGACAUAUUUGCACGGGAGUGUGCAAAGGUGGAAGGCUGCACAUUCAAGGUAGCUCAGUCAGAAAAUCUAAGCUUCUGCGACCAGGUUUGUUUCUUUUCCUACUCUUUUUACAGUGAAAAAAAGACGAUAUUUUCAAAGAGAAUUCAUGCAAAACAUAAUAUACCCAAGAUAUCGAUACAUUCAUUACACUUAACACACAUUUUUCUCUCAGAAAAGAAAAAACGAUACUCAUCUUAUGUUACUCUCUGACACUCAUCUUAUAUUUUACUGACAUAGCCCCUUCAUUGUUACUGAGAAAUCAAAUUAUCCAGCGUUCAAUUUCUUAUGAACAAAUGCUAGUGAUCAUGACGGUAAAAUCUCUGGCUUAGUCAGGGACAACUGCGGGCAGUAACUGGUUAGGUUGGGAGCAGAACUAAUUCAAGCGAAUGCCAACAUAAUCGAACUUCUACAUACUCAUCCGAUUGGUCGAAUGAAGAACAUAUAGAACAUUUUGCAACUUACUGCUCAUUAAGUUUCCUUUGCUAAAAUUCUCUCUUGUACAUGCUUACUAAACAACAUGCAAUGACAGUAGCAAUAAGCCAACCGGAAUUAAUAAAAAGCUCGAUGGUUCGAAAUGUCUUGCUGCAAUCUAGCUCAUUCUCUUAACAAUUGUUUUCAUCAUUCAGGUCAGAGUAAUGACUUACACCGAUGUUGUCGCAUCCCCACAUGGUGCUCAAUUGACAAACAUGCUUUUCAUGGACAGAAACAGUAGUGUGAUGGAGUUCUUCCCUAAAGGAUGGUUAGAGCUUGCCGGAGUGGGUCAGUACGCACAUCACUGGAUGGCAGACCAAUCUGGCAUGAAUCACCGAGGUGCAUGGUGGGAUCCACUGGUCAAAAAGGAAUGUCCAUUUCCUCAACAAGAUCUAGAUUGCUUUAAUUUUUACAAAAAUGGGAAAGUUGGUCACAAUGAAACCCAUUUUGCAGAGUGGGCAAGAAUUGUUCUCGACCAAGUUAGGAUAAGCAAGAUGCAAAUUGCCACUAGGAGUCCCACUAACAAGCCACAGCCAAACUCAAUUGCCUGCAAGUGCUAGUGUAUUUGUUCACUUGGCAUUUUACAAUCUUAUAAUAUAGGGCACAGUUGAAUGGUAACAGCAAAAUUUGACGAAAUAAUGCUUUGUUCUUGUACAUGAGAAACAAGAGGAAAACAUGCCGUGAUAUUCUCUUUAUAUAGCAUUCAACUACAAUUAUAAGGAAUUUUUCAAAUGUCGCAUUAAAAUUGAAGAAGCUGCGGGGAAGAUUUACGAUUGAACCUGCAUUUUAACUCUCUCUUUUUUAAUUAAUGUGGGUGUCCGGACCAGUUUGCGCAUACCUCGACUAAUUCCACGGGUCUUAAAGUUAACGAUCAUGUAAACCUCCAAUGCCCCUGAGGUUUGUGGGAUUCGAACAGGUGAUUUUUAGAAAGCAAACCUAGAUCCUAACCAGUUAAGCUACACCCCUCAGGAUUCCUGUAUUUUAACUCUUGAUACAUCCAAAGGAUGGGCAUUGCUUUAAAAGAUACUUUGGUGCUCAAUAGACCUCAUCUUCUAGACAUUUUGGACCACAGAUAAACCACCAAGAAACCAAACAGUGCAAAAACAACCACAUGAACAAUAUGGUUUCCACCAUUCUUGAUGAUACUCUUGUUUAAUUUCCUAAGGUUGUUCUUCACACCAACUUGAGCUUUCAUCACAGUCAUUUGCUGUUAUGUCAUUCAAAGGAAGCUUUCAGAAGGCAGUUGCAGAUUUUUGUAAUGGACCAAUGUUUCAUUUAUCCAUUUCCUUUCCUAAAAAUAAAUAUUCAACAUUUCAAGUUGUUUUCUGUAUCUGAGAAUCAGUAUUUUCAGUAAUGGCCAGAUAACUGUCCUCUUCUUUUACAAUAUAAUGCGCUAUCUCUAAAGUUCAGUAAUUUUAUCCACCAUUUCCUUGCCCUUUUAAAAUUUCACACGGCCAUUGUGUUUUGUUUCAAUUUUUUUAUUAAAAAAAAAAGGUUGAAAUAAGCAGACUAGCAAUUCAAAAAGAAAUCAUUAUAUCAUAGGAGUGGCAACGUUGAGCAAACCAAAAACAAAAAGAUGGCAGAGGUUAAUGUGCACAAAUGGAGAAAAAAAAAAAAAAAGGUUUAAGCAUAUACCAGAGUCUCUAAGAAAUCCUUCUCAUAUUUUGCUUCUGAUUCUAUCACUUGAGCCACCUACACCAUAUGAUUAAAUUGGAGCUUGAACAUUACAACAGAGGAAACUUCAAACAAUUCUGCACUCAAACUGACCACAUCAGAUGGUAAUGUUAAAUUUCAAAUGGAAAGAUCUUCAUCAUAAAAAUAUGCGAACAAUAUAAACACAGAAAAACCAUCAACAGCAGUUUUUAUUUUUGCAGGAAAUGUGCCCAAAUUCCAUACGACAACAAACACAGACCAAUCCUGGCUUCGAUUGCCAAGAAUGGCAUGCAUGUACUUCCUCAGAGUCUUUAAAGCAAUCAAUCCACCAUAAUUCCUUCUUCACUGGGAAAAACCCCAAGAAAGGACCUUAUCUUGUUUCUUCUUUUAUUAAAUAUAAUAAAAUAUCCAAUAACAAAUUGACAACAGUUUUGUAAAAUCCCAUGAAAGAACAAUUUCACAAACCCAGAGUUGAUCAAUCACAGACAUCUUCAACUAUGACCAAAGAUCAUAGAACUUAGGGUCUUCGAUACAACCUUGACGGUCUUUUUCUCACUCCACGACUCAUCUUCCUGGCAUGCACAGUUAACAUUUCAAAUGCACUAGAAAGCCAGCCUAUACUAAACCAGUAGGAACAGAUGUCAUAAAAACAAACCCCGAAACAACAUCUUACAUGGCAAGGAGAAACAGCAAGUGGAGCUGCCCAAAUUUGCAACACAGCCAGGCUUGUUUAUUUGAUUGAGUAUUAGAAAAUCUAAUCUUUAAUAAAUCACUCCAUUUUACAGCCCUCGAGCAAAAUAUUAGUUCAACAAUACAGAAACAUGUCCGCUUUUUUCCAGAGGAAUUGCUUUUCCUUCAUUAAGCAAGCUCAACAAUUUUUAUAUAUAUAAAAAAUAAAAAUAAAGAGGAGCUUACGUUUCUUAAUUGCCUAACUUGGCUACGAAGGCCAGUGAUCUCAUCGUCCAAAUCCCAAUGGAUCGGGUCAAUCCGCAAUUGUAUUUCAUCGGAGCUCGCCACGGGUCUCGUGCUAAGUCCCUCUCUACAAACAUUUGAAAAGAAUUAAUAAAGGAAUCAUAAACCCUAAAUUUGAGAAUAACAAAUACCUUGAUCUGUAAGGAGCAGCGCCUCUUUAAAAAGAACCGCCUCUUCGGUUCAAACUAGCCUCCGUUCAACAAAAACUUUUUUCCUUGAAGCAAAUUUGAGUGGUGAAGCCAAAUUAAAAAGGCCGGAGAUUUGCGCGACUUUUAAAAUUCGAAAAAUUGGCGGGUGGCGUUUUUUCGAGCGAGUUUCGAAAAUUUUACAUUCCACGUAUUAAUUAUUUUUUAAAUAAUUUUAAAGAAAAAUAAAUAAAUAUAUAUAAAAUUUAUAAACUAUUAAAAGUAAUAAAAAUAUUUUCAACGAAGAUUUAUUUUUUAAUUGUAUUUAUUUUUUCAAAUAAAUUUAUAAAAUAAGUAAUAAAAUAUCAUUAAUUAUUUCAUACCAUUAUAAAAUUUCCUAUUUUUAAGUGUAUCAAUAGUAUUUUUUUCUCAAACAGUAAAGUGCAUUAUUUACUUGGCUUUGAUUCUCAACUUACACGUGCAAUCAUCUCGUGAUUGUGAUCAUACAAUAAAGUUAUUUAUUAUAACUUUGAUCGUGGUGUUUAUAUAUUUAGUUUUGAGAAAGAAACUCGAUGAAGAUGUUUUAUAUCUUCAACUAUGCUGGAAAAGAUAUAUUAAAGUUUAAAAAUUAUUUUAUUUGAUUUUAUUUUGAGUUUUUAAGUUAAUUAGAAUAUACUUUGUUAUUAUAAUGGGUUUAUAAAGGUUUUAUGUACUUGGGUUAAAAAUAUUUGGAAUCUAGAUUAUUGGAUUCAAAAACUUGAAAUCAAGUACUCGAGCCACCUCAUGUAAUUGAAAAUGUUGGUAGACAAAUGUGCAUCAUUUGCCCGAAUGGGUGAUGCGGUGUCUACCAUUUAAGAAAAAAAAUAUAAAAAUGUGCCCCACCACCCUACCCUACCCUACCCCCUCUUUUUUAUCCUUGGGUGCUUAUGCUCCGUGUUGAGAAAAGAUUCCUACCUAGUUAUUAAACCUGAUGUAGAGGUUAAUCUAGUUAAGAGAUUGGUCCGAAUUUUAUAAGUCAAUCUGAAAAAAUUAAAAAAAUUAAAAUUUUAAUAUUUCAUAAGAAAAAAUCCAUGUAAAUAUAGGUUAUACAUAUCGUAAACAAUAGAAUUUAAAAUAAUAUUUUAAAAAGUUUUUUUAUCUCACAUUAAAAAGAUAUUAUGUUAAGCUUUUAAGUUGAAGUAUUUAAAUCAAAAAAAAAAUUUAUCCCACGUUGAAUAAACAUAACUUUUUUAUUGGGAACAUAGAGUAUAUAAAUUAAUAGGUUUCAAAUCCCACAUUGAAAAAACAUAACUUCUUUCAUGGGAAUAUAGAGUAUAUAUACGAAAGAGUUUCAAAUCCCACAUUGAAAAGAUACUAUAUUAUCCUUUUAAGUUAAAGUAUUUAAACCAAAAGGUUUUUUAUCCCAUAUUGAAAAAACAUGACUUUUUUCUUAGGAACAUAGAGUAUAUAUAGUUAUAUACUAAUGGGUUUCAAAUCCCACAUUUGAAAAGAAAAAAAAUACCAGGUCUCGUUCUGGUUCGUCCGGGUCAUGGGUCGACCCGCUGGGUUGCCAAGGUUUGAUCGGGCUGUUGCCCCAGCCGGUCUUUUAAUAAACCCGGACCGGUCUAGCCACCAGGUUGACCCGCCGGGCCGGGCCGAGUUUAAUAACAUUGAUUCCUAGUGGUAGGAAUAGGAUACCUAAUGUUCGUAUCUUUUGGUAAUUUCCCCUGUUCCCAGCCACAAAUACUUGAUUUUGUGUUUCGUAAAUGUCAACAAUUACUUGAACUCCACUUAACCAAAAAUACCUAAUCACUUAAUUAUCUCUUAACUACUCUUAAAUUCUAAAAAAUCACUUAUUCUUAAGAUUAUAGAAUUUUAAUAAUACUAGAAUUCCUGGGGACUCUAAAUUUAUAUAGAUCUAAAUCCUAACUGACGUUGAAUUUUAAUAGCAAACUUGUUUAGUUUUAAAAAAUAUCUUAAACUACAAUAUCUAACACAAUCUAGGACUGCAAGAGGAAACGUUUCGAAUGAAGAUCCAAAUGGUAAGAGAAGAGUACUCCACCCUUGCACAAGUCUAGGACUGUAAGAAAUUAAGCAGAGGAGAGAACUUGUGAGGAAAAUACGUGUCCAGAUCUGGGUUGAUCCGAAACUUGUAAAGGAAGGAAAUCAAGAUCCAACGGAUAAGAGAAGGCUACUACAAACAGCUGUGAGGGACUGGGAGGGUUCUCACAACUCACAAGUAUCAAAAGGGUUUUUGGCUCGGCAGCUCAAGACUCGGAGCCAAGCCCCCAGGAGAGAACAUCAUGGAAUGUGAAACACAAGAAACUUUUUUAAAUAAUAUUAGCGUCUUUUAUGGGAAUACACACAAUUACAUUUUCUUAUAUAAUUUAAAUUAAUAUUUUUCCUAUGAAAACUCUUUUUUAUUAUCAUAUAAUUAAAUAUAUAAAAAAAUUAAAAGUGCCCAUCAUCACAAGGUUAAAUAUCUCCACUUGUAUUUAUUUUUUACUUUCAUGUUUUAUUUUUUAGUUAGCAUCAACAACAUUUUUUUGAUGAUUUACUAGCUUAUUGAAAAAAAAAUUAAACUCACACAUUAACUUUUAAAUUUUCAAUUAAUAUUUUUUUAUAUUAAAAAAUGUUUUCACGAUACAUACUAAUUUUCUCUCAUGUUAAAAAUUAAUUUUAAAACAACCAUCUAGGUGGUGGCCUAGUAGUAAGAGCUUGGGACCAAGAGGUUUGCUCCCUCUGUGGUUUCAGGUUCGAGACGGCCACUGGAGGCUUACAUGGUCGUUAACUUCAGGGCCCGUGAGAUUAGUCGAGGUGCGCGCAAGCUAGCCCGAACACCCACAUUAAACUAAAAAAAAUAAUUUAAAACGGGUAAUUGACUAGUUUUUUAUACGGUAAGAGUGUUAAAUUCGUCCUUGAUUUUCCUUUUUGGUGGCUUUCUGUUUUUUUUGUUUUUUUUUUUAAUUCGGCGGCCUUUUCCUUUCUCACAUGGUCAAGUCAAUUGGAAGCUGUGUGAUAAUUAAAUUCUCUAAUGCACAGUAACCUAAGAACAACUCAAGGGACGUGGCAAAAGAAAAGUAAAAAAUAAAAAAAAUAUUAUUUUAAUUUUUCAAUGUUUAUUUCAUGUGCUCUAAGUGUACUGCUAAAUAAAAUAUCUAAAUGCCUUUUCUCUUCAAAUAAAUGGUACUUCUAUAUAUUUAGUCAAAACCAAUAAAGUAAGGUCAAUAAAAAAAAAUAAACCAAUUAAAUACUGUGUAGGAAAAUGACAUUGAUUUUUUUUUAAAAAAAUAAAACACUUAUUCUUACACUUCAAUAAAAUUAAUUUUUCAAAUAGGUUUUUUUUAUUAAAAUAGACAUAACAAAAAAAAUUAUAUUUAUAUUAUUUAAAAUACUAAUUUAUCAAUUUGACUCUUCAAAACAAAAACAAAGAGAUGCUCUAAGAUGUAUAUUUCCAUUACCCAUAGAUCACAACCUUUAGUCAUGUCUGACGCACAUCCUCCACCAUCGAUUAGUUUGACCUUCGAGGAAUCCAAUGCUGCCCAAUAAACGACUUUCACUGUCAAACAAAUUACACGCGUUGUUUGGAAGUUUCCAUCAAUCCAUGUCCAUCAACACCCUUCUCGUAAACGCAGAAAUAACACGCGAUGUCUGGCUAUAAAUUUUUGCCCUCCAAAGCCACAGGUAUCACAGCCUUUCUCUCUCCUAUAAAAAAUCCCCAGACAGAGAGAGGCAUCCCCAAAUUUUGCAAUAUGGGAAGUGAAGCUGAGAUUCCUAGAAAGCCCAGGUUUUUAUGCCUUCAUGGAUUUAGAACAAGCGGAGAAAUUCUGAAGACACAAGUGCACAAGUGGCCUGAAUCAGUGCUUCAAAUGCUCGAUCUUGUUUUUCUAGAUGCCCCUUUUCCUAGCCAAGGAAAAUCAGAUGUGGAAGGAAUCUUUGACCCUCCUUAUUAUGAGUGGUUCCAAUUUAACAAGGUCCAAAUCCUUAUGCAUCAACUGUAUAAAGUUCAAUGAAAGAAAUUUGAUUUUCGAAUAAUCUUUAUAUCUAAAAAGAUAAAUUUAUAUUGUUUCUCUAUGGUUUGAUUUUGAUACUCGGUUUGUUUUGGUAUAUAUUUGUUUUUAAUUUGAAGAGAUGUUUGGUGUGUUUUCUUCCAGGAAUUCAGUGAAUACACUAAUUUUGAUGAAUGCCUUGCUUAUAUCGAGGAUUUCAUGAUCAAGAACGGACCCUUCGAUGGCCUGCUUGGUUUUUCUCAGGUGGGUGAAAAACUGUAUUCUUUAUCUGUUUCCACAUAUAUAAAGAUUCUAUUUGGUUGCAGAGAAAAUGCAGAAAACUGUGAUGAUUCUUGUUGUUUACAUUUUACUCAUGGCUAAUUUAAUAUCUUCAUGUAACUUAUUCACUGGAUGUGCAUAAAUGAUACAGGGCGCAAUUUUAUCGUCUGGGCUUCCCGGAUUGCAAGCGACGGUUAGUUGAAGUUGCUCAUUUUUUAUUUUUUAAAUUCUAAUUUAUUUGUUACAGAUGAGAGGCUUGAAACCCGACAUCUCUAGGAAGGAGAAUAUGAAUACAAGUCACUGGCAGCCUCUAGUUUAUUAAUAGAAUUAUAAUAAUGCUAGAUGAUUUAUUGGGCUGUUUGCUGUUUCCUUUUGCAGGGUGUGGCUCUAACCAAAGUGCCCAAAAUAAAGUUUCUGAUAAUAAUUGGAGGAGCUAUGUUUAAGUCACCAUCUGUGGCUGAGAAAGCAUAUGAUUCCCCAAUUGAAUGCCCAUCCCUCCACCUUUUAGGUAUCUUAUCUCCAUUUAUUGUUUCUUUCUAUCAGUAUAGAGUUCCAUAUCUUUUGCCAUUACUCCUUUAGCAGCAUUGAUAUGUACUAAUGAGGCAUUUCGGGCUCGUUGUUUAUAAAUGAAACGGUUAACAAUCAUUGUGAAAAGAAUACAAAACAAAGCUGUAUAUAAUUGAAUUCAGAAAGAACAUAUUUGCUAAUGUCAUCCUGCCUGUUUGUUGCAGGGGAGACGGACUUCUUGAAGCAAUAUGGUAUGGAACUCUUGAAAUGUUGCGUAGACCCUGUUGUGAUUCAUCAUCCUAAGGGUCAUACGAUACCAAGACUUGGUGAGUACUGAAAUGUGAAUCACCCUUCUUUCUGUUUUGCUCUAACAGGAGGCUCAAUGCAUCUUGUGCUAUUGUAAUAAGGGAUAGAUCUCCGUCAAUCAUUAAAUCUUAAGUGCAUCCUUCACAUGAUUUGGAUCUAAAAUCUUCAAGUGUAAAUCCCAAGUCUUAAUUGCUGAUGAGGGACCCAACAACUCCUUUAUCUCUCGUGUUUCUGCGUGUUGCUUAUUGCAUUUCUAUCAUUGUUAUUUACUAACAGGCAAUUAUUUCUCUUCUUCUUUCAGAUGAAAAGGGUUCGGAAACCAUGCUGAGCUUCAUUGACAGAAUUCAAAACAUGUUACUAGACAAGUAGAUAAUGGUGGUGCUUAUUUAGCGCACCAUCGAUUCACUUUAAGCGGAUCAAUAGUGUAUGAUGGCUAGCCAGAGCUAGUAGUGAUAUUAAUCCAGUGCCACCAUGUAUUUUUUUAAUGCAAUUUUACAGUUUCCGCCCCAUUCAUGCUCUUAUUGUUGUUUCUAUCUGCUGCCUUACAGGCGCUUUCUUCUGAGUGAGCCUGUGUACUGGUAUUUUAUGAAUCCAAGUCAUUAUUUUCCAGACGAUGAUGCAGAGUUUGUAUUGGUAGCUUGAUAAGUAAAGUGGCUUUAUCUGAAUCCAUUAGUUUCUGUUUGCAAAGCGAGCCCGCUCGCCAUUCAAUUUUACACAAGCCAUGUUCUCUGACAGAAUCCACUUAUAUAAGUAAAAUAAUUAGUUUUACCAGUUGUCUCUGACAGAAUCCACUUAUACAAGUAAAAUUAUUAGUUUUAACAGAUGUUCGGGUUGUUUUCAGACUUGUUAAAUCAACUGAGUCUCAUUAAAACAUUUUUUUAUCUUAUUUAAUUUUAAAUCUGAACUGAAAAAAAAAUCUUAUUAAAAGGUUUCAGGUUGAUUCAUUUUACUAGGUUUAAUAAAAAUGAUAAAUGGUUUAUUAUGGCUCAAGGGUUUUUUUUACAUUUUUUUUUAUUCAUUUAACUUGGGUUGAUUUGUUAUUUUUACUAGUUAUUUGGGCUGUUUUUUUUUACAUUUUUUAAAUCUAUUAUUUAAUCCUUGUUGUUUUUUAAUUUUAUAUUUUGAUUUUAAAUUUUAUUUUUUAUACGUUUUAGUCUCUACAUGUUGAGAGAGAAAAGAAAAUUAUCAAAAAAUAUUGAAGAAAAAAAAUACUCAGAGAUACGACAUUUCAUGAGUAAAAAAGUUAAUCAUAGUGUUAAUAAGUUUGUUUUUUUUUUUUUAAGAAAAGCUCAAUGUAGGUGGUGGUGUCCUUUGAUUAUAUCGGAAAAAAAUAGAUUAAAAUCCUUAAAUUUUUUUUAACUUGUUUAAUUUUCAUUUUUUAAUAGAGAUCAAAUAUCAUUUUGGAGUUGAAAAUGGAUCUGAAAGUUUAUUGGAUGUUUCUAAAUGAAUUUCUUUUUUUAAAAAAUAGUUUUUGAACUCGAAAAACUUGGGCUCUAAUUUUUUGAUAAUUAAAAGUCCAGCUUGCGAUAAUAAAUGACUUAUCAUUUAUUAAAAAUAAAAAAAACUUGAGUAGAAAAAACAAACUUAUUAGCCCAGUAUUGCAUGAUUUUUUAUAAAAAAUUUCUCUUAUUUCUUAUUUGUUUAACUCUAUAUAUUUUUUUGAUAUCUUAAUUAAUACCUUAUCUCUUUUCUUGUUGUUUUUUUAAAUGUUUGGUUUAUCUUUUUUUUUAAUAGUAAUUGGUAGUUUUUUUAAUUUCAUAAUGAUUUAAACGAAAUAUUUUAAUUUAUCUUUUAUUUUUAUUUUUUAGAAAUAAAUUAAAUUUACAUUGUAUAUUUAUAAAAAUAAAAAUUAUUUGCUCUUAAAAUUAAUAUAUAAGAUAAAAAAUAUAAAAAUAUUUAAAAUAAAAAAACAUUUGAGGUUAAAUAUUGGCAUGUAUAUCUAUUUAUCUUUUGUUUUUAUUAAAAACAUUAGCCUUUUAUUUUAAUAUUUAAUUAAUAUUAACAAUUUUAUUUUUAAUUUAUUAAUCCAUAUAUUUUUAAUUUAUUAAAAUACAACAUCUUUAUUUUCUCAAUAAAAAAAGUUAUAAGAAAAAAAAUCCAUACUACCAAUAAGUUCUUCAAUUACCCUAGAAAUGAACUUUUAAUUCUAUCCACAGCACUAGGAAAAAAAACAUUCGCAAGCACUGGUUUUUUUAAUUUAGAUUUGUUUUUAGGCUUUCAUAAAUAUUUUUUAAAAAAUUAUUAUUUUUUAUUUUAAAUUAAUAUUUUUAAAUCAUUUUAAUACACUAAUAUUAAAAAUAAUUUUUUAAAAAUAAAAAUAAUUUAUUUUAAUAUACUUUUAAAUAAAAUAUAUUUUAAAAACAACCACAAUUAAACUAUAGCCCGGCGUGCUAACGAUCGAAGUAAAAUACAUUGCUAAAGCCUAAAAGGAUCAAUUCCAUCAGGGAAUUCUAGAAGAAUCAUGUGGGCAGCGGGCAAUAACGAUGACGAUGGUGAUUCGAAAGAGUAGCAGUAGAGCAAUGACAUGCUUAUUUCUAUCUCAAUUACCUCCCACGCUCUCUCACCAUAACCACUCCUUUUCCAUUUACAAAUCCUGUCGCUCUCUCUCUAAAACUCCCUCGGUAACUUAGCGCUCGCUCCCUCUCUCAAACCGGCACAUCUCUACAUAACUAACUAACACAGCCUUUAAUCACACUCCUUUUUUUUGUUUGUUGUUUGUUUAUUAGGAUUUUCUAGGUUCAAUCUGGUGUCCCACAGUCUGUGCAGCUCCUACAAUUCGUUCAUUUAGUUCAAAAUUCAGCGAAUCCAGCACCACCGCAAGAAUGCAAAAUCCAGAGUCCAUAUCAUACCUAACUCAGCGAGAAGCUGCUGAAGUCGAUGAGAUUCUCAUGGGCCCGCUCGGCUUCAGCGUCGAUCAGUUGAUGGUCACUCUCAAUCUUUAUCUCGAUUUUUUUUUAUCAUUGUUAUUAUUAUUAUUCACAGACUCAAUUUUUCAUUUUGCUGCUUGUUUUUCUUUUAGGAAUUGGCUGGAUUGAGUGUUGCUACUUCAAUAGCCGAGGUAUUGCCGAAUUUUUAUUAUUUCUAUGAAAUCGAGUUUAUAAAUAAAAUUGUUAUUAACCUUUAUUAUUAUGAAUCAAAGGUGUAUAAACCUAGCGAAUACAGUCGUGUUCUUGCAAUCUGCGGUCCAGGGAAUAAUGGCGGUGAUGGUUUAGUGGCAGCUCGUCACUUGCAUCAUUUUGGAUACAAACCAUCCGUUUGUUAUCCAAAACGGACUCAAAAACCUCUUUAUAAUGGUCUUGUUACUCAGGUAAGGCAUUCAUCUGGUCUCGAAUUGAACUGUUUAAAUUAUAGUAAAACAUUGGAGUCCCAUUACGAUGUUGUUUUUUUUUGGUAGUUGGAAUCACUGUCAGUCCCUUUCCUUUCAGUGGAGGAUUUGCCUGUGGAUUUGCCUGAAGAUUUUGACAUUCUAGUAGAUGCAAUGUUCGGGUUCUCAUUCCAUGGUAAUUACUUGUCUCAGUGCAAACUUUGUCGUGAUUUUUCUAUGACUGUAUAUACAUAUAAGUGUCUCAACAACUCGAGAUUAUUGUUAUACAUUCUUUAUGUGAAGUAUAUUAAGAUUGCAUGCUAAUGCUUGAUAUGAAAAAUGCUGUAGCAAUACUGAAAUAUAGUUCUUUUCAAGUUGCUAUAGUUUGGUUUAUUUUUCCUUUGAUAUUCUAUGUACUUGAGCAGCCUAGAGUGACUCUGCAAAUUCAGAGGUGGAAGUAGAAAAUAUAAAUUGAGGGCUGGCAUAAAAAUGUGAAUGACGAACAUGAAAUUAAUAAAAUUAAACAAGGAUCAAAGAGAAAAUAUGCUAGUUUUGGUGUACCAUCAAAUGCACUCCUCAUAUGAAACAUCACGAAGUACAUGUUUGGUAGGAGGGUAAAGGGGAUAAAAAUUACCUUUGUAAGGAGGAAAACUAUUAAUGGAGGUUAAAAUCUAACUCAAAAAAGGGGUUAAAUGUUAAACUUGUGUGGAGAGGGGUAAAUAAAUUUUGAGGGGGGGUGUUUUAGGUUUUGUGCCAUUCCCUCUUUUUUUUUCACAUAUAUAAUUCAACACUAUUAUAUUCCUUUUUUCAUCUCCUUCUAUUUUACACCAAAAUUUUAAGUUAUUUAAUUUUUUACUAUUCUAUUUAAUUUAAAAUUUGAUUUUAUCUUUUUGGGGACCCAUUAUUAUCCAUAAUUUUUCUACCUCCCACCAAGUGUCCUUAAGACUUCAUCCUUUAACCUUUUUUACACUCUUUAACACUUCACCUUUAAAUCCCAGCCACUCAACAUUUCUCCUUUAAAUUUUUCACCCCAUACCAAACACAACCUAAGGGUCAAAUUAGGAAAUUUUAAAAAUCAGGGGUGCCAUGGUCCCCCAGUGCAAUAUGUAGUUCCAUCCCCAUGCAAAAUCAACUCAUCAGAGCUUAGAAACCUCAAUUGUUUUAUUUAUUUGAUUCUAUAAUUUGCCUGGAUAACUUCUUUAUCUAUCAUGCAUCAAAAUUCUUACUGCUGACAUGAAUUUAAUCAUGUUUAUUAUCUGACUUUCAACAUUUUCAAAUAUUUUUCAGGUUCCCCAAGACCACCUUUUGAUGACCUAAUCCAGAAGCUGGUGCAAUUGUGUAAUUUUGCUCAAAAUCACCAAAAAUCCCCUGUAACUGUGUCUGUGGAUAUUCCAUCUGGAUGGCAUGUUGAAGAGGGUGAUGUUAGUGGUGAGGGAGUUAAGCCUGAUAUGUUGGUAUGUUUUUAGUGGAGACAUUUGUAUCAUACUAUUACUGCUUCAAUAUUCUGAAAGAUUGCAGAUACUUUUCCAAAAAAUAAUCCAAUUUAAUUAUAUUCAAACCAUCUUAUUGAUACAACUUUAGUAUUAUCUAGGUUUCUUUGACUGCUCCAAAAUUGUGCGCAAAGAAAUUUACUGGUCCACACCACUUUCUAGGGGGUAGAUUUGUCCCAUCAUCUAUUGUGGACAAAUUUAAGCUGCAUCUUCCACCUUAUCCAGGAACUUCCAUGUGUGUCAGGAUUGGAAAGCCUCCACAAAUUGAUAUAUCAGCUCUCAGACAAAACUAUAUUUCUCCAGAAUUGCUUGAGGAGCAGGUGGCGGCUGACCCCAUUGAUCAGGUAUGAACACUGUUGUUGGCCAUUUACUUAAGUAUUCUUUCCCUUAGAUGCCUGAGUUGACAGCAUAACUGUUAACACAUUGCUGUUCAGAGUUUUUCCCUCUCCCAAUCUCUGCUCUUGGUCUUUCACAAUCACUGGAAAAUUAUUUUGCUGUAUUCUAAAUCUGCCAUUUUCUAUCUUGCAGUUUCGUAAAUGGUUUGACGAAGCAUUGGCUGCUGGGUUGAGGGAACCAAAUGCUAUGGCCUUGUCAACUGUUGGAAAGGAUGGAAAACCGUAUGUUGCUCUUCGUUUGCUAUUCAUUGUUGAUAGUUUGUUAAAUUACAAUCCAAGUUAACAUGCAUGCUACUUUUGAGGGUAAUGAUUGGAUGCAUUGUUUGCUUCUUUGUUUAGUGGUUCAUGUGAUCUGAUUUACAGUGAAAUGGUUUCACUUCUACAUCUAAAUUCAGAUUACUCUUGUAUUACUAAUUUCUUAAGAACUCAUGACACAGUAAACUAUAAAGAAUGUUAGACCAUGUAUACUUUCUUAAUUGGGUUCUUCAAUCUGAAUUUGAAGAGGGAGCUUAUGGACCCACAAGGAUACUUAUCCACCCUUACAAUUUAUGGAAACUUUGAAGCUUGUGCAACAUUUCUUAUGGGAGUUCCAAGUAAUGACUGAAUUGCCACGUAAAAUAUAAGACUUUUGAAAUAAAUUCACAGAUUUGAUGUAGGCACCAGUACAUGGAUCUCUUUUAGGUGGUUUACAGGCAAUUGAAAGGCACAAAACUAUGUGGAGUGGGUUGGCUCCUUUGGAGUUUGUAAAAAGGACAAAUGUGAGUUGGAACUAGACAAGGAAAUCCAGUUCUUAGGGCUGGUGCAGGUGCUGUUUAUGGUACUUUUAGAAAGUCUUUUUUUUAUAAAAAAAAUUGAUUAUAAGAUGGAUUUGGAUUACAAAGGUAAGAUUUCUUGGGCUUGUAUGGGUGAAAAAGAUAAAUAAUUUUUACAUACCUUCCUCGGUGCGAUUAAAGAAAUUAAUGCUAUAAUCAUCAUUUUUGGAUUUCCUUGGGCAUAGGACCCAAUGUUUUCUGGACAUUACUCCUUGGGUCAGGAUUGCAUCACAUAAUCUCAUAUAGAUGGCUCAACAACUUGACAUGUUCGUAAAACUAGCCUCCUUCUCGAUUGAUAUCAUUACAUGAGACUUGUUAGGUAUCUUAAUUAUACAAAUUCUAGACUCCUAAGCUUUAACUAGAACAAUCUACCAAGACUCGAGGCGUAUACAAAGAACAUAUAUACGAGUGGGCUCAGAAACUUUCAAUCAAAUUGAAUUUUCAGCUGUCAAGUGUGAUUUUAGAAUCCUAACAGAAGUUGUAGAUGAGUUACUCUCCAUUUCUCGAAGAGUUUUGUCUCUGUUUGGUAUUAUCAAAAAGUCAAAAGCAUCUCUUACUCUUCACUUUUGCUUCUCAUUUAAAACUAACUCAGUUCUUUCAUGAAUUGAAAAUGAAAGGAUUUGCUGUUCAAACCUUUGUUCUACUUUUUUCUGUUAAUAAAAUGCAUAGCUGGCUGUUUUGUAGAAUUAAUUGUCAUUUUUCAAUCAUAUUAAGGAUUAUGUGGAAGAUCUGCACAUCGAAUGUUCUUUCAACGUUGUCAGAUGUCUGUAAAGAUGCUGGAAUGACUAUAUGAUGACUCCUUAUUUAUGUAUAGAAUUUGUUUAUCUAACAGCCACCACUUGUCACGUUACUUUUUGCAACAGCUCAUCAAGAAUUGUGUUGUUGAAAGGAGUUGACAAGGAUGGGUUUGUUUGGUAAGUGUUCUUCUGCUACUAUUGGUGGCAAUAGUGAGAUUAGAAAUGGUUUCAUGACUGCUCGUGGUUUUAAAAAUUGCUGCAAAUUUUACCCUUUUCAGGUACACCAAUUAUGAAAGUCAAAAGGCGCAUGAAUUAUCUGAAAAUCCCCAAGCAUCACUCCUCUUCUACUGGGAUGGUCUUAAUCGGCAGGUAUUCCAAGCAUCACUCCUCUCUCUCUCUCUCUCUUGGGGGAAGGGGUUUUUUGAGGAUUCGCCAAACAGAAGGAUGGUGGGAGGAAUUUUAUUUAUAUCAUAUUCAUUGUUGUAUGCUGUAUGUGAGCUUAUAUUAUAUACUGAUCUAGUAGACAACUGUGAUGGGUAUUUUACAUGUGAGAUUGGACAAAAAGUGUAAUUUCUUAAGGAUUACUGAAACUAAAAAAGACCCUGGUUUUCAGUUUCAUGUGCUUUCCAUUGAUCGUUAUUGUUGGGUUGUGGUUUACUUAGUUGCCUGCUGAUAGAUCUGUGCUGUAGUCUUUCUGCAUGUUUUUUUCUGUCACAUCUGUUUUGGGAGAUUUGAAAAAACAUAUGACCCUGUAGUUUAAGUACUUUUCUGUUAUUCCAUUUGUCCACGGGGUAGCUUUUCUUUUCUAGUUAAAGUUAGCUCAGAUGAUUAAAUCUCAAAUAAUUUGUGGACUUGCCUAAAAAUAUCCAUGUUGAAUCUGGUGCUACACUUGCGGUAAAUAUUUAGCAGCUGCAAUAUGGCAUCACAAUUUGCUCACACUCAGUUUAAUUAGUUUUAUCAAACAUACUGAGAAUCUAUCGCUGUAGGUCUGUUGUCAUUGUAUAUAGGACAUAACUGAUUGUCCCAAAUAACAAUGCUGCAUUGUUAGUUGUGGGAAUUAGGUAGGAGAGGAAAAGCCGUAUUUUGCCAUUGUCAAGAGCAUGAUGUUAGCAAUCCAUCAAUGAUGCUUGUUGCCUAAGUAUGACCAUCAAUUAACAAUGAAUUAUGCUAAGCAUGAUGUUAGCAUUCCAUCAAUCAUGCUUGUUGCCUAAGUAUGAACAUCGAUUAACAAUGAAUUAUGCUAACCAUUAUCCUAUAUUGCAUGAUAUUUAGGCUAUCCUUCCACUCCACUGUAGGCCUGGUUCUAAAAUCCAUAUACGGUUAUAUAAACAUGAAGUAUGCUAAGAAUUAUGCAGAAAAUAUUUUCUGUUUUCAUAUUGGGUCUGUUGCUUAAAUGCAUGAUAACUGUGAUUUUUAGGUACGAGUGGAAGGAUCUGUGCAGAAAGUUCCUGAUGAGGAAUCAGAACAGUACUUUCAUAGCCGUCCUCGAGGGAGUCAAAUUGGAGCAAUAGCUAGCAAGCAGGUUUCUUUUAUUCUUUUCAGAUUGUAUCCAACACAUCAAAAUAUUGGUGUGAGCUUUGUUUAUCAUCUUCUUUCUCCUUUCAGAGUACUAGCAUCCCUGGAAGGCAUAUUCUGCACCAAACAUACAAAGAAUUAGAGGAAAAAUAUUCUGAUGGGUAAGUUGCACUUCUCUUCGUUCUCCUCUGAGAGUGGCUUCAAAUAACUAGCUUUUACAAAUCUGUAAUAUAACUCAGUUUAUUAUUACACACAAGACUAUUUCUGCUACCUUUUUUUUGAAGAAAAUGAUUACUCUGGAUUUUAAGAGUGGUGGUUAGCAAUCUCUUGUUUAAGUGGGUAUGGUUGUUUAAGAGGAAGUAUCAAUAAAAUGUAGUGUUUUUUCCCUGUUGUCUAAGUGCAGAAGUUUGAUUCCAAAACCUAAACACUGGGGAGGGUACAGGCUUAAACCACAACUUUUCGAGUUUUGGCAAGGACAGCAGUCUCGUUUACAUGACAGGUUAGUUUCAUCUCAUUUCUCGUGCUGCAUAUUUAUAUUUGCAUGCAAACAUUGAAUGGAGCAGGUUUAUUAGCAAUCCCCCAUAUCAUACUUUGUUGUCUAUUGUGUUUUGCUGAAUGCUUGAUUGCAUCACAAUUUUACAAAAAUAUAAUUCUCACAGGAAGGUACUCUAUUUGCAUACUAUGAUAUAUAUAUAUAUAUAUAUAUAUAUAUAUAUAUGGAAGUAUUGAGAAAAAUGGAUUUGAAAAGUCUAAAAGUAUUCAUAAUUAUAGAAGACAUGGGUAUUGGGAUUUUACACGCAAAAGAGAGUUUUGGAUAUCAAAUGGUCUUAUGGCAGUUAACUGCAUAGUUAAUUUAUGCAUAAUCUUUUACAGGUUGCAGUAUAUUCCUCAAGAAAUUGAUAGAAAGCUAGUUUGGAAGAUUGUGCGGUUGGCUCCCUGACUAGUACUUCCAGCUUCCUCAUUGUGAAGCCUGUCAUUCAUGAUUUCAUGGUAUUUUGUUAUCUGUUGCCUGUGUUUAGUUAUUUUGGUACAAGUAGCAAAUAGUAUAAUUAUGUUCUCUUUCUUUUCUGUUUAAUUGAUUGUGUUGCUAGACUUCCAAAAGCCUUGUUAGUACCCAGGAACAUAAAUUCUUAUUCAGUGAGGAACCUUGUACCGUAAAUUUAGAUCUUGGAUCGCAGAUCUAUUGGCGAAAUAAUUGAAGUGAAAGGCAUGGGUCGAGGCUGGGUUUAAUUUUUUUGCAAGUUAAUUGGAAGGCAAGCUAUGGAUGAGAAGAGACUAUACUCCAAAAGUUGUGGGCGGCAGAGGUAGGCUGUUGCUGUUAUUUAAUUUAUUGUUACAAGUAUAACGUGUAAUAUGUUUCAUACGAUAGCAAAAACAUAUCUAAAUGGUGGAUGGUUGUGAUUGUUUUUUAAAGAGCUUUUUAUAUGGAAAUAUAUUAAAAUAAUAUUUUUUUUAUUUUUAAAAAAUUAUUUUUGAUAUUAACAUACCAAAAUGAUCUAAAAAUAUUAAUUUAAAAAAAAUUAAUUUUUUUUAAAAAUACUUUUAAAACACAAAAAUAAAUUAAAAUUUAACUAGUAGUUCAAUUUCCUUCCGUAUUGGAGUAGGGUGUGUAUUUUUUAAUUAAAAAUAUAUUAAAAUAAUAUUUUUUAAUUUUUUUUAACAUUAAUAUAUUAUAACCAUUAAAAAAUAUUUAAAAAAAGUAAAAAACAAGUUCAACUAUAAAAAUAAAUAUUUCCUAUUGCAUCUGGUAGAGUCGUGCGUAAUUUUCCAUUUGUUUGUCAUAACUCGUAAGGAUCACCUUGCAAUUAAAAUUACAUAUUACAUUAAGAGCUGGGGUCUUUCAACCUUACCAUCAUGUGGAUUACAAUAAUGCCUGUUUUUUAAGUUUUGAUUUUUAAUUUUCGUUGCAUCCUUUUGUGAGUUGUUUUAGGAGAUGGUAGUUUUUAUUUUCGUGUCCAGAGCUUUAAAGGUUUUUUUGUUAGUUUUUAAAACUUUAUUGGAGAUUAAUUUAAUAUAAGAUAUAGUUUGUAUUUGUAAUGAAAAGAUAAUUAAGAUUUUAUUUGUUUCAUGAAAAGUAGUUUCAGGAAAUUAUUUUUCAAAUUUUCUUAUAUUUAUUUACUAUUAGAAAAGUUGGUAAAAAAAAAUUUAAUUAAAAAAAAGUUUAGCUUGGUUUUCAUAAAAGUAUUUUUUUUUUAAUUUUGGGUGGAAAAUACUAUAUAGCAGUUGUGAAAAAUUUAAAAAUAUGCUAUUGUUUGUUGAUUAUAUUAAAUUUAAUUCUUAAUCUUUUAAUUAUUAUGUAUUUUAUUUUGAUUUUUUUUAACUAUCUUUUAGGAAUGUCAACGACUCAAUAUUUUUUUAAAAAAAUAUGUCAUCUUAAAAAAAAAUUAAAAUAAAAUAUUUUUUUAGAUUGUUCGAGUUGUUUUUUUAAUUUGAUAAGUUUGUAGGGCCAUAUCAAGGUAAACAAUAAAUCACAUCAUGAGUUUUUAGAUAUGAUAUUAAAAAGUUUUCCAUCCAUCACAUGAAUAAUUUUUUUGUUAAAUUUAUUUUUUAUAUACACAACUCGCAACAUAGCCUAUGCAAUAUACUGGUUUAUCUGAUUGUGCUCGAGCAAACUCUACAAAAUCAUGGAUGUACAUCGAAAGAUACUGAUGGGAAGUCACUUUAAUUAGUGGAUCUGUAAAUCUUCCCCUUGUGAAUGACUCCGAAACAAUUGUUCAUCCAGCCAUGAUAUCGGAUGCUUGGCCUUGGAACGGAAGGAAAAUCUGGCUUCUUUUUAAGCAAAAAUGAAGCUACAGCUUCAUUGGAGAGGGUUUCAUCAUCUAUGUUUUGCUGAUGCUGUAAUAUUGGCUAUUGAUCCUGACCAGAACUGGGCUCCACCUCGAUUAUAAAAUAUCUGGAGUUUCUUUUCAAGGUUCUUUUGACCGAACUGAAGCUGAAUUCUGACGCACUACUUUAUGAAAGACCAUUUCGAUGCAAGGUGACCACACCACACACCACUUUCUUUUCAAAUGGGUCAGACCGAGAAGUGUGCGGUGAGUGGAAAAUCAUGGAUCUCAGGUGUUACUUGUCAGGGUGAAAUUCAAAGGCACUGUUUCUUCUGUUGUCGUUACACAUCAACCCCACCCCCACCCCCAAAGAUCCAAGAUCGAGCGGUGGGGGGAUUUUUAGAGUUGUAAAGAGAAUGAUUAGAGGAGUCUCCUCUCUCUUUUUCAAAAAUCAGUGUGUCUGAAAGUAAGGUCUACUGGCCUAUGAUCCAUUAAAUGAACUCGGAGCCACCACAAGUGGGUAGUGCUGUUCGAUCACAUACAUGAUGAGUUGUCAACAGUGAAAGAGAUCAUUAAGGAAAUCUCUUGAAGACCAUCGACUCCAAGAGGAACACCAACUAUUGAAGAGCCCAUCAGCAACCACUAACGAAGGUUGACCCGACGUUAAAUAAUAAGUGGCCACGUCCAGAUCAACAAGUUGAGAUGCCCUAGAUAGAGCAUGUUCUCAUAGAAAAAACUUCGAUCGCCGGGGAUGUAUUUGCUUUAUAUUCCCAUUAUCUCCCCGGGUCAUUUUUCAACCGUCCUUUGGGAGAGAAUAAAAAAGGCCUCUUUUCUUUUUCUUUUUUAAAAUAAAAAUCAUUUUAACUAACUCCUCUAUUUCCACACGUGAAAUUCG